GGCUAGUAACCAUGCAUGGGAGAAAAAAGAAAUCCACAUAGAAAUAUGUAACAAUAAAAUUUGUUGUGCUCCAAGUUACGUUAGUUUCAAGUGCCACUUAAUUAGUGAUUUUGUGACCGAAUAGAGUAUGGUGUAAGAUGUUUUUUUUCCCUGAGAAAUUGAAGUAAUGUUUCCUCAUUCAAGACGAGAAAAUCUUGAAAAUAAUAAUGAAAAUGAGUAAUAGACACCCUGUUAGAUGUAUGCGGUCAAACCUAUCCUUAAAAAUUGUUUAAAUUCAAAUAUAUAAUAAUUAUACUUGUAAUUUAUUAUCUAGGAACAUACUUACAAAAUACCAUUUUUUUUAUCUAUUUCUGGAUGCAUGUUACUACAGAAACUGAUAGUUAAUGUGAACUAACUCAACAAUUUUGAUAAAUUACCAACAAUAUCAUUCUCUACAAACAUAUUGUUACCAGCUAGCAUAUAUCCGUUGGACAAGUAACACAAGACUAUAAACUGAAACAAAAAUUAUUGGAAAAGACUGUCACUCAACUAAUGAUGUGCAUGUAUGUGAGUGCCUGCGUGUUCUACCAUAAAAAAAAUGAGACUAAUAUAACUAAAAGGUAUGUUUUAAAGUUUGGGUCAAUUAUGUAUAGAGCCUUGUUGCGUGUCCUUCUUACCACUUUUCUAGUUCUUUUUCUCGUUGCUAAGUAUAAAUCCGUGCCAGUGUCAGUACAGAGUUUAGCAUGGUACUACCUUUGGCUAUGCUGUAAAGCGUGAGUUCUGGGAGGGCCAUGACACUGGCAAUGGAGGAGAUGUGGACGAUGCUUCCCCCACCGGCAAUGGAGGUGUUGAGGAGGAGAGGGUGCGCGAGCUGGCUGAGGUGGAAGCACGACUCCAGGUUGGUCGCCAUGAGCCGCGAGUAGUCCUCCGCCGUGAACUCCAUCGCCGGCUUGCUGAUCAACUGGGCCGCAUUGUUCACCUGCCACUCAUACACAUUAUACAUGCCUGUUCUCAUGAAGGUGUUGACAAAAGAGAAGAAAAGAAAAAAAAAGUCUUACUAGGAUGUCGAGCUUGCCGGCGAAGGUGUCCCUGACCGUGUCCAUGAGCUUCUCCCUGUCGGCGCGCACGCCGACGUCGCAGACGGAGACGGUGACGGUGAGCCCCUUCUCCUCCCACCUCCGGCGGCACUCCUCCAGCUCCGCCGCGUUGCGGGAGCACGUGUGCACCCGCGCGCCGAACGCCGCCAGCUCCUCAACGAUCGCGUGCCCGAUGCCCUUGCUCCCGCCGGUGACCAGCGCCGUCGCGCCGGCGAGGCUCCACCUCUCGCCGCUGCCGGCGGUCGCCAUGUAUGAGAUCUCUAGCUCUGUGCGGACAGUCGUUGGGGAGCUUUGUCCACUAUGCUAAUGGUGGCAUAUGAAUUAUGUAUGGUAAUGGACGGAUUUGACUAUACCUGUGUGUGUGGUCGAUGGGUGCCACGUCGGCAAUUAUAUGUUGGCCCUCCACACACACUUCGGGAGGAAAAAAAACCGUACACAUGCACCACAUACACCAGAGACAAGAGCCAGUGGUCCAUGUGUGCUCGUCUGUUCUAACAGACGCCACACGUAUACCCAAAGGAUAUAGGGACUCCAUCUCUCGAAAGCUACGCAUCCCUUAGUCGAUGGCCAGAAAGGAGGAGAUCCGAGAUGACGAUCUAUCUCAAAACGAAACCGACGUUAUUAAUUAUUGGUUAUCUCACUGUCGGAAAACGAAAAGGAUUGACCUUUAGUGCCGGUUUCAAACGGAACGGGCGACGCAGGGCCCACGGUCCGCGUCCCAAGCACGUUCAAGGCGGCCGAGACAUCGACGCACCAUUUUUGUUGCUUCCAUCGGCAACGGGAGAAGUGCAAAGGAUAGCGUUCAGCCAUGUGUGGUGGCAGGAGUAUGUUGGACUGUUUGAAGGCACUACCGGAAACAGUAGAAUUGCCAAGUGCUUGAGGGUUUGCCGAGUGCAUUCCAUCGGGCACUCGGCAAAGAUUCCAACACAUAUGACGGGGAGUUCUCCCAAGAAGAUGGGCUCGAAGGGAGUUUUGAGAUAGACUUAACUGAAGCGAUUGGAAUGAAAUAGACAAUGAAAGGGUUGCUGACGAGGACGCUGGAGACGAGGUUCAGAAUGUGAAGGACUUAGAAUUACUUCAGCGAUUACAUUUAGGCAAUGACAGUGAUGACGACAUUCCUCCUUCGGAGCACGGGCAUGAUUAUAUCGACACGCAUGAUAGUGAUGAUGAGACUUAUGAUCCAGCUAAUCCCGAUUAUGAUGAUUAUUUCUAUUACAUGUAUGAUCCGUACUAAUUUAUUUAUUAUUUGCCAUACAAUGUUAUUUUUGAAGUAUGUUUAGUUUAUUUUGCAUAUCUUUCUAAGUAUGUUUUGUUUAUCUGUGCUAAUUGGUUUACUCUUUUUAAUUGCAGGUGAUUGAACAAUGGUGGGCGGUACGAGGAAGAUCGUGACGCUUUACAAAAAAUUCACUGUUGCAGCUUCACGAUCCAGUGCAUCUGAGGAGUCCGGGAGGGGUCGAGGGAGGGGUCGAGGCAUGGGUAGGGCACUGGUCGAGGGAACGGAGGCGGCAGAGGUCCAGGGUGGAGGCAUGAGGUUGAGGGAAGGGUAAAGGGGCGAGACCCCCGUCGCCUGUAGCUUCCUCGUCGUCGUCUAAGGAGGAGGAGGUACCUUCCGCGCACGCCUCUGGUGACGAGGAGGAGGUACAAGAGGAGCAGGAGCAGGUGAAGGAGGAGGUAGGGGGUUCCGAGGUCCCUCGACCCCCCCAAGGUGGCCGAUACCUCUUGAGAGACGCCGAUGAUUCGACUCUCUAGGAAAAAGUAAGUAACUUUAGAUGUUCUCAAUAAUUUUUCGUUUGAUAUGUUGAAAAUUACAAUAGAAACUAAUAAUUUAUCUUAAUUACUUGGGCAGGAGUUGGAUUAAGAUCAGUGAGGAUGAUCACAACCGCAAGGUCAACGGCAUCCUUGGUCUUUUGUGCAGGCUACACUUCCCUGGCUUCGUGGAGUUUGGCGGAUAGCAGGAGCCGACCUACACGUGGGACCACGACGUCGUCGGCGGUGAUGCUGUUGAUCGUGACGACAGGGUAUUCCCCAACAAGGCGGAGCAGGUGAAGGCUGAGCUAUGGGUAAGUCUUCCUCGCAUUACAUUGCUCAAUACAUCACAUUCACUGGGCAUUCUUGAAAUAAUGACUGUAUACAUCGCGUCUAUAUGCAGGACAUCUUCAGAUGCCAAGAGGGAUUCGAGGCCAAUGCGGCCUCCAUCUCUGACUGAUGAAGCUGCCAAGAGGAAUUCAUUUCUUUAUUCUAACGCUCAAUUCUGUAUAAUUUCUAAUCAUUUUGCAUUUUUGACGCAAUCAUCGUUACAUGAUGGGUAGCCUUGCUCCCAGUUCAAGGCAUGGGUUCUGUCUCACAAGGGCAAGGCGACGGCCAAUAUCGACUUCAACCCAGAGGACCUGUCUAAGGCGUACAACAAUCCCAGCAUCCACAGCCGCGUCACUGAAUACACAACGAUGGCAAGGGAGGUUCAUGGGCCAAAGUAUGAUGGAGAAAUCGUGAUGAGGGUGGAAGGAGGCAAGAAGCACAGCCGGUACUGGAUUGACGACAGCACAAUUGACACGGACUCUACUCCCACUCUCUCCCAAAUCCAAGCAAGGAGCACGAGCUCGAGCCCGGUGAUACACCCACGGCUGAACACUACACGGUUCUAGAUGGAGGCUCUCUAGGUCAUUUCUGCUUUAUUCAUCGUUCGUUGAUUUUUACAUACUUUUGCUUUGCAUUGUAACAUUGGGAUGAAAUAUUGUAGGCCCAGGUGGAACAAGAAAGGAAGCGAUGAGAGGAGAGGGAGGCAGUGAUGGAGGCGAGGGUGGAGGCAGCUGAGCAGAGGACGGAGCAGAUGUUCCAGUAUAUGCAGAGUGUUUUUGAGAGGAUGGGUCAACCUCCGCCAUCGAACCUAUUCCCUCCACCUCCUACAUCUACUCCUUUGAGUCACUCAGCAAAAUUAUAAUCACCGUUUGUAGUUUAUGCAGAAUCUAGAAACUAAAAAUAAACUAGAAACUCUAAUUAAACUAGACACUAAAAAAUAGAAACUAGAAACUAGAAACUAGAAACGUGGUAUAUAUGUUGCAGAACACACAAUAAAAAAAGUGACUUAUGCAAUCUCUUCUCCUUUGUGCAGGGCCAACCAGCGGCAUCCAAUGAGCCAUCGGACCCAGCUUGAUCGCAGUGGCCAACGCGGUCUGCUCAGUGACUGAUGUGUACUUGUGGUUGCACGGGUUGUCUCACUUCUUUGCAUAUGUGGCAUAAUACUUGUGGGUUACUUUUCAAACCUGCCAACUCGUGGAUUACUUGUGGUUGUGAAUUUAUUUGUGAUGAUGACCUUUAUUUGUAUGUUGUGAAUGUCUAUUUGUGGUUACAAACUGCCUGUGAUGCUUAUUACGUGCCUGUGAUGCGUAUUGUACACUACGGGAAACAGACAGUUCGCCGAGUGCCUGGGGCACUUGGCGAAGGCCCGAAAACCCUCGGCGAAACGUUUGCCGAGUGUAACACUCGGCAAACGACACACGGUAAAAUUUUGAGUCGUCAAAGUUAGCUUUGCCGAGUGUUCUAUGUCGUGCACUCGGCGAAGCUUUCGCCGAGUGACAACAAAACACUCGGCAAACAUAUUUUUUGAAAAAAAUAAAAAAAACAAAAGUGGCAGCCGGCACCACUGCCGGCCACCACCGCCGCCGCCACGCCACAGCCGCCGGCCACCACCACCGGCCUCCACCACCGCCGCCUCACCACAGCCGACGCCCACCGGCCUCCACCACCGCCACAACCGCCACCCGCCACGCCGCCGCCUCGCCACGGCCGCCGCCCGCCACACCACCACAUCCGCCGGUGGACGAGGACGAUGGACGAGGACGGUGGUGGGGGAGAGCCGGAUCUAGCCCGUCCGCCUAGAUCUAGCCCGUCCGCCGCCCGGAUCUAGCCUCCGCCGCCCGCCGGACGCCGCCUCCCCUUCUCCCCUCCUCCGCCGCCCCCCGCCGGUCGACGUGGACGCCGCCGCCUGGAUCUAGCCCCCGCCGCCCGGAUCUGGCCCGUCCGCCGCUCGGAUCUGGCCCGUAAGCCGGGGAAGAGGGAGGGGAGGGGGCCGGGGGGGGGGGAAGGGUGCUGGGGGGGGGGGUGGGGGUAGAUUGUGGUGGGGGGGGGUGGGGGGGGUUUUGAGUAGGAGUGGUUGGUUAGGGGUGCGGUGUAAGGGGGGGGAGGGUUGGGGUUGGGUAAGUGGGCGGGGNNNNNNNNNNNNNNNNNNNNNNNNNNNNNNNNNNNNNNNNNNNNNNNNNNNNNNNNNNNNNNNNNNNNNNNNNNNNNNNNNNNNNNNNNNNNNNNNNNNNNNNNNNNNNNNNNNNNNNNNNNNNNNNNNNNNNNNNNNNNNNNNNNNNNNNNNNNNNNNNNNNNNNNNNNNNNNNNNNNNNNNNNNNNNNNNNNNNNNNNNNNNNNNNNNNNNNNNNNNNNNNNNNNNNNNNNNNNNNNNNNNNNNNNNNNNNNNNNNNNNNNNNNNNNNNNNNNNNNNNNNNNNNNNNNNNNNNNNNNNNNNNNNNNNNNNNNNNNNNNNNNNNNNNNNNNNNNNNNNNNNNNNNNNNNNNNNNNNNNNNNNNNNNNNNNNNNNNNNNNNNNNNNNNNNNNNNNNNNNNNNNNNNNNNNNNNNNNNNNNNNNNNNNNNNNNNNNNNNNNNNNNNNNNNNNNNNNNNNNNNNNNNNNNNNNNNNNNNNNNNNNNNNNNNNNNNNNNNNNNNNNNNNNNNNNNNNNNNNNNNNNNNNNNNNNNNNNNNNNNNNNNNNNNNNNNNNNNNNNNNNNNNNNNNNNNNNNNNNNNNNNNNNNNNNNNNNNNNNNNNNNNNNNNNNNNNNNNNNNNNNNNNNNNNNNNNNNNNNNNNNCGGGCACUGCGACAAAUGGUCUUCUGGUCGAGAGAUGUGCUCGGCAGAGUGCUCCAAACCUCCAUGUUUUACUAAUCUAUUUACAUAGAACAGACUCAUAUGUCAAGCAUCUCUCGCAUUCCACGACGGGGGAAGUGAAAACUUGCCGUGUGUAUUUUCUUUGACCGAGUGUUUUUUUGCGAGCACUCGGUAUAUCUAGCUCUUCGCCGAGUGGCCUAGCCAUGGACACGCGGCAAAAAAAUACACUCGGCAAAUCGGGGCUUUGCCGAGUGUCAAAUAAAAAACACUCAGCAAACCCCCCUAUUUGCCGAGUGUUUUUUUUGACACUCGGCAAAGAGAGUAGUUUGCUGAGUGUUUUUUAUUUGACACUCGGCAAAGCCCCGAUUUGCCGAGUGUAUUUUUUGCCCGAGUGUUUUUGGCUUGGCACUCGGCGAAGAGCUUGUUUGCCGAGUGCUCGAAAAAAACACUCGGCAAAAAAAAUACACUCGGCAACUUUUAACUUUCCCGUAGUGGUAUGCUUGUGAUGUUUGUUUGAGGGGUCUGUUCUAUGUGACAGAUUAAUAAAAUAGGGAGGUUUUGAGCACUUUGCCGAGUAUAACUCUCGGCAAAGAGGACAUUUGCCGAGUGCCACGGGCAAAGACUCGGCAAAGAGGCCAAUUUCUAUUAUUCUGGGAACCUUUUUUGCCGAGUGUUUUAGCUUUGUUGAGUGUAUUUUCCUUGACACUUGGCAAAGCGACCAUAAAAAACUGGCCCUUGCGCACUACUUUGCCAAGUGUUUUCGCCUUGACACUCAGUAAAGUUCAGAAACUUUGCCGAGUGUUUUUCCGUCGUGCACUCGGUAAAAGCACCAUCACCGUGCCAUCCCGUUAACUUUUUUUUUUGCCGAGAGUUUAUUUUUGCCGAGUGUUUAUUGACACUCAGUAAAAAGUUUUGCUGAGUGCCCGAUGAUUGACACUCGGCAAACAGCUCUUUGCCGGUAAAAUUUACGCCGCGUGCUGUUUGCCGAGUGUUAUAUUCGGCAAGGCCUUUGCCGAGUGUCUUUUGCAAAGCUACUGUAUCCCGUAGUGAGAGAUGUACGAUUGAACUAUACGCUUUGUAUUUACCUUCGUUUUAAAUUGUAGAUUAUUUUAGCUGUCUUAGGUUUGUAGUUUUUGCUAUGAUCCCAGUUUGCCGCUACUCAUAUUUACGCAUAUUGGGUUUGUUUGGAUGGAGACCUGGCAGGCAGCUUUCUAGCCAGGCAGCGAUCUUAGUCCCAGGCGACCAAAAUCGGACGCCUGAGAGCACUGCUGAACCGGGCAGCUCCACUCAGGCCCAAAGCAAACAUGCCCAUUUAUACUGCCGAGGUAAGCAGUUAAUAUGAAAUAUUAGUAUUUUGGAUUAGCGUGACCAGCAGAGUCGUAACAAACAGAGAUGAUGCGACUGUCCGAUCCAGUUGGUACUGCUACAGUUGAAACCAACGGAGAUGCGUGCAGGAAAGAAAAACGAAGGCCACGUAGGCACGUACUGGUGAAAGCCACGUGUGUAGAUGCUACUCGUUCCUUGUGUUCGUCGUGUUCUCUGACAGCGGCCACGCAUGGCGACGGAGGCCUGCAAUUGGUGGCGUCGAUCAAGAGCCAUCGUGGAAUGUCUGGCCAGUGCUGAUCGACUGGUUGAUCUGGGUGUUUCAUUUCCUGCCAAUGAUUUUGAUAAAGAUAGAUAAUAUAUUAUAUUCCUGUCUCGAAGCUAGAAAGGGCAAAUGUUUGACAGAAAGACGUUUUCUGCUAAAGGUACAUUUCAUUUUAAAUAAGAAAAAUAAAGUGCUGAUGAGAUAAAUUCUAUUUAUUAACUUGUGUAGAAAUAUAUCUGAAAGUAAGUUUGACCCUCAUAUUGGAAAUUGCAAAACAUGCCAUGGACCGACUGACUCUGCAACCAUCUCAUCAUGUCUUUGCUCACCAUACACUUUAUCCAUGCCGCCAACAAUAAGGGCUACUUCGACUUCUCUAAAAAUAACUCCGGCUCUGACUCCUCUGGUGGAGCGGCUUAUGCGGUGAAUGUGGAGCUAUUUUGAAAAACGUUUGGCAGAACGGCUUUACCUGUUUUUCAUGAAUGGAUUGAAGAUAUCAAAUGUCCAAUAUGCCCCUUGAUAUAUGACUUGGUUGUUAAGAUGAAUAAUUGUAUCCUGAGUUUAUAAUUUUUAUUCAUGUAAAAUAAAAAAAUGAAAAUAAAUUACUACCUCUAUCCUAUAAAGGAUGCAACUAUGGUAUGCGUGCUAGUUAAAAUACUUCACGUUUGACCAUAUUUCUAGUAAAUAUAUUUACUAUUCACAUUUAUGGCGCCAAAUUAAUUUAUUAUGAAAAUACAGUUCAUAGUUAAUCUAAUGAUGUUUAUUUGAUAUUAUUUAUAUUUAUAAUUUUUCAUCUAUAAUAGGUCAAACUUGAUAUAGUGAACCAUGACACUGUUCCAGAAUUGCAUUCUUUUGAGGAUGGAGGGAGUCUUUGUUAACCAAUAUUUGUGCUUGCUAAAAAAAAGUGAUGUCGUUUUUUCAAUUUUUAACGCAUCUAUUUUUUCUCUUUAUUUAGUUCCUCGGAUCAUUUCUUUAUUCUGAUCUCUUUUUUAUCCUUUUGUUUGUUCCUUAUCUUUUCCUCUCUUUCCUACUCGUCGCCUAUUUCUGGCAGUCUCGCUGCGCCGCCGUCCUCCCACGGCCCUGCUCCAUCCUCACAUCCGCGCUGCUCCCUUGCGACCACGUUCCGGCCUCACAGCGUCGCUUCCCCAGCGCCUUGCUCUUCCCCUGCUACACUGAUGCCGGCAAGGGUGGCUCGAACGAGGCAGGGAUGCCUCCAAGGCAGCCACGCGGUGGUUGUCCCGGCUGCAUACAACCACGCUGACGGUAAGAGAUUGAGGGCGCUAUUGAGCUGAGGGGCAAUUUCGUUCUUGUGUCUGUGGGGAAGGGGAGGACUCGGUAGAAGCUACAUUUUUAUUUUUUUUUCUCCGCCUCUCUAGUUCAUUUUGAGAACGGCUCCAGGGUUGGUUUCGACACUGAAGCCGUUUUUCCAGAGGGCGUUUGGCAGGGCUCUGGUAGGAAGCCGCAGCAGGAGCCGGUGUUGGAGCCCUGCCAAAGCGCCCCUAACAUUCUUUUUGUGACUGUGGCGGUGAGAGAUAGCUUGACACAUUCAAACCUUUUCUUUUAUCUUUUUUCCCUAUGAGUAAACUUUACAUAACUACACGCACAGACACCUUUUCCAAGACCAACUACACAUUCAGUUAUAUUCAUCCCAACCCAACACAUGACAUGUGCUGCUCAUAGUCACAUGUUCGUGCGAUGGGAUAUAUAUAUAUAUCAUCAUAAUUUUAAUACUCCCACGAUACACGUGAAACAUGCAUGUAAAAUAAAUGUAGCGUGUCAUGCAUACAAGCACAGAGAGCCACUGCAGCACAAACCGUUAUUUGUGCUGGCUCAAAAUUGCUGGUGGGUGCUUUGACCGUCAGCAUAGUGCUCAUUUACCCACCAGUACAAAUAUUUUCUGGCGUAGUGAUCUUUAAUUUCCUUUUUUGUGCCAUUGGUUCUUCGUCGCCGAUUAGCUACUCAAGCACUUAUAGUUCGACCACCGUCAACAGAGAUGACUUGGCCAGUGACAUAUGAGGCUCCUGGCAUACACAGGAAUGAGACCACUGAUGCCACCUCUGCUGCAUCCGCGCUCCGCCCAAUGGGAUUCGCGACAAUACUUGCUCCAGGAUGUCUGCUCCUAACUGUCAUCUCCAUGUCAGUUAGCAGGUAGGAGCAAUGGAAUUCUAUAGUUCAAGUAAAGGUAAUAUAUAUGACAGUAAAAUGGAAAAAAUGCAUAACAAUAAAGACAAGAGAAAAUGGAAAACAACUCGAGUCCAUGGCGUCGGUCUCAUGUACACGUACGUCUCUGGUCAUGUCAGUCGCGACGAGGCAUGGUGCAACGCAAAUUCACACGAAUGUUAUGGCAGGCCCACUCGGCAGCCAAGCUUUCUUGUGAGCUGGUGUGCAUCCUCCUGUGGGAAAAAAGUUAACGAUCUAAGAAAUUUACUUGUGUGAAACUUCUUUUGUGCCCGAACCAAAAUGGCAAAUAGUCCUGCAAGUUACUACAUCUACUGAAAAAUAGUCCUGCAGGUUGGUCGCCAUGAGACGCGAGUAGUCCUCCGCCGUGCACUCCACCGCUGGCUUGAAGUUCAGCUGCGCCGCGUUAUUCACCUGCAGUACAUCCAUCAUGAACACAUUUCAUCGUGUAAUUCAUGGUUGAUUUGCGCCUAUGCUUACAAGGAUGUCGAGCUUGCCGGCGAAGGUGUCCUUCACCGUGCCGAUCGAUGAGGGCCUCCCUGUCGCCGCGCACGCCGACGUCGCAGGAGGAGACGGUGACCUGCAAGCCCUUCUCGGCCCACCGCCGGCGGCACUCCUCCAGCUCCGCCGCGCUGCGGGAGCACGUGUGCGCACGCGCGCUGAACGCCGCCAGCUCUUCCACGAUGGCGUGCCCGAUCCCCGUGCUGCCGCCGGUGACCAGCGCCGUCGCGCCCGCCAAGCUCCGUCUCUCCUUGCCGACCGCUGCCAUGUCUUCUCUGUUCGACCAGUGCUCGAUCUUGCGACGCCACGCACUGCACCUGUACGAAUGCUUAUAUCGCCAAGGUCAAGAUGAGUUAGUCAAAGGUUCAUGUGUGAAGAAUUUGAAAAGGGAUAAUGGAGUACUAGGAGAGGUAGCAAAUAGAGUACGCUUCCAGCUUUGUCCCGUGUGUUCGUGCUGUCCGACACGAGCCACUCAUCUUCGCAGCCGAAAGGAUCAGGGUUGACUGAUGAGUGGUCGAUCUGGUUUUACACUCCCUGUCAACGAUUUGGUAAAAGAUUCUAAACGCAAUCAAGAUGGUUAUACAUACUCCUAGCUCGAAAUUUAGAGGUAGAGGUUUACGUAAUAGUCGUUUUCUAUUUUUUUAGAAAUUUUUAAAUAAAUCUUGGUGACAAAGUCAACUCCAGUCUUACUCAAUGAAUUCAAAGCCACCGGAUACAAGGAGAUCACAAUCCAUGGUAUAUACAAAAGCCAUUUUCUAAACUUUCAAGAAAAUUAAGCUCGGUGACGACGUCAACUUCCGUCUUAAUUAUAUGGAAGUUCUUCAAAGAGUAAAAUACAUGUGCAGAGUAAAAUACAUGAGCGGUUCCUGAACUUGUCAUAAGGUGUCAUCUAUGUCCCUAAACUCUCAAAAUACAUUUUCAGGUCCAUGAACUUAUCUCAAGAUGACAUCCGAGAACCUAAACUCUCAAAACACAUUUUUAGCUCCUCCAACUUGUCUUAGGGUGUCAUCCGAAUCUUAAACUCUCAAAGUGCAUUUUAGGAUCCCCAAUCAAGCGCCAAGUAAUACAUGCAUGAUCACUAGCAUAAGGUGGUUGCAAAGGCAACGAGCGAGGAGGAAGCAUUGCUAUCAGUGGCAGAUGACAAGUUUCAAGAUUUGACAAUGUAUUUUGAAAGUUUAGGAAUCUGGAUGAAACCCGAGGACAAGUUUAGGAGUCUAAAUAUGCACUUUGAGACUUUAGUGACUCCGAUGACACCUUGAGAUAAGUUCAUGGACCUGAAAAUAUUUUUUAAGAGUUUAUGAACCUAGAUGACAUCAUGGUACAAGUUUAGGAACAGCCGGUGUAUUUUACUCGUUUUCAAAGAAUGCAUGGCUACAUGAUACACUGGAGAUCAGGAUCUCCAAUAAUGGAGGAUGAUGUUAUUACAUCUACACCCUUGGAAGUUUUAUGUGUAACUGGUACUUAGCAGCUCAACUUAUGGUCCGGCCGCCGUCGAUGCGAAUGUCUUGGCCGGUGAUGUAGGAAGCCGCCGGCAUACAGAGGAAUGACACCACGGAGGCAACCUCCUUGGGCUCGCCACUCCGGGCCAUGGGACCCCGUGAAAUCUCUUGCUCUAUAGUCUCCGGUUCCACCUGUCAAGUUGUCAACUCCAAACAGAUUUGGAGAAAGCGAAUUAAUAAAUUUCAUCAAUUGUCCAUUAGACAAUUACUAAUCUACUACUAAUGAGAAUAGCUGUAUUUAUCUAAACAAUUUUUAUGAUUUAAAGAAGAGAUUCUAUUUAUCAGUCGACUUAUCGGUCUAUACAUGUAAUUUUUUAGCAAAAAAUUGCCAGACUUAUGAUAGUAAUGUUUUGCCAAAGAAAAAAAAAAUGGUCCGGAAGAUGGAUUUGAUACGCAGCUGUUUGCAUUGUUCUGGAGAUAAAAUUUUCUAAUUAACUUUCAUCCUCAUGGAGAUUUUCUUUUUGAAAACCAUGAAACAAAAUUUAAUUAUUUCCCCUACUUUAUAUGCCAUUUCUAGGAGCAAUUAGAUGGCCAUUUCAACACAUGUUAGAAAAGUUACCGACUUCUGGGGUAAAAAUCUUUCAAUAAAUGGACAAUAUGGAUAAGUUGAUGAUUCCGUUCCCUGUCUAGUUGACACGCACCUGUUUGAGUAUAUCAGUUGUGACAAGGCCUGGGGCAACACAGUUCACACGAAUCUUGUCCUGCGCCCACUCGACAGCCAGGCUUCUUGUAAGCUGGUUCAUUCCUCCUGCACGUACGCUAGAAUUCUGUCAAGAACAGAUAAUCUUUUCUUGUGUAUAAGACACAUAGUUUAUGGAAAUAAUUUACAUAUAUUCAUGGAGAGUUUGAGAAUUCCUCCUUUGUCGUAAUUAGUUUUGUCUGAUUCUUAUGUUUCAUUCCAAACAAAAUAAAGUCUGAUGUUGUCUAGGAUAAAAAUGUAGCAAAGAAGAAGGUGUUAACCUUUGGAUAUGCAGUAGAGCACGAGCCCUGGGACCCCUACGUAGCUUGCGAUGGAGGAGAUGUUGACGACGCUUCCUCCUCCGGCGAGGGAGGCGUUGAGGAGGAGAGGAUAUGAGAGCUGGCUGAGAUGGAAGCUCGACUCCAAGUUCGUCGCCAUUACAUGCGAGUACUCCUCCGCCGCGCACUCCGCCGCCGCCUUGAGCAGCAGCUGCCCGGCAUUGUUGACCUGUACAUUUGUUCAUGGAAGAUUCAGCGGUGGUUAUUCCACCACUGGCCACUGUAAACAGCCUUGCCGUCGACCUUAGCUUACCAGGAUGUCGAGCUUGCCAUCGAAGACCUUCUUGACAGUGUCCAUGAGCAUUUCCCGGUCAGUACGCAUUGAGACAUCGCAGACGGAGACGGUGACGACGAGCCCGUUCUCCGCCCACCGCCGGCGGCACUCCUCCAGCUCCGCCGCGUUCCGGGCGCACGUGUGCACCCGCGCGCCGAACCCGGCCAGCUCUUCGACGAUCGCGUGCCCAAUCCCCUUGCUGCCGCCGGUGACCAGCGCCGUCGCUCCGGCGAGGGUCCACCUCUCCUCUCGACUCCCGCUGGCAGCCGCCAUAGCCUGCUGCAAGUGCAACCAGCGGUUCUUGAUUACUGCCAAGUAUGCUCAGAGCGUGUAUGAGCGAGGUAUUUAAGAAAGAAAUCAACAGCAUGGGCGCGAGUGAUGAUGACUGAUUCUUCUGUGAUCGGUAGACGGAUGCUAAGAUGCGUUGUGAUGGCAGUAGCAGUUAGAGGCAACCUAAACGCCAACAAGUAGAGAUACGGCGCACAAGAGAAGACGGCUACCGGCCUGCCGCCCUGCCGGCCCACGGCUGCUGGACUUUAUUUGAAGAUCGAGACCGGCCACAACAGCAUAUACACUCCGCUACCGGUACCGGCCGGUUGAAUUUUCACACCUUGUGUCCUUGUCGGGGUGUUUGGAUACACCCUAGUACCUGUCACAUCGGAUGUUUGAUACUAAUUAGGAGUAUUAAAUAUAGUCUAAUUAUAAAACUAAUUGCACAGAUGGAGUCUAAUUCGCGAGACGAAUCUAUUAAGCCUAAUUAGUCCAUGAUUUGACAAUGUGGUGCUACAGUAACCAUUUGCUAAUGAUGGAUUAAUUAGGCUUAAUAGAUUCGUCUCGCGAAUUAGUAUAGGGGUUCUGCAGUUAGUUUUAUAAUUAGCUCAUGUUUAGUCCUCCUAAUUAAUGUCCGAACAUUCGAUGUGACCUUCCUAAAGUUUAGUACCUCGCAUCCAAACACCAUAUUAGUUUGCUGAGCUGAGACUGAAAAUGAUGCAGCACAUAGUCUUUUCUUGUUUGAUAUUAAUCUCUUGAUAGCUGUGCCUUUUCCACCUUAGUUCCAUUUUAAACCUUUCUUGCGUUUGCGUGACCUUAGAUUCGAGCCUUAUCCUUUAGUACACUCUUUUAAACCUUUUCUUUUGUUUUGCUGCAUUGUUCUUAGUUGUACUUAUUUGUUUGCUUGUAUGUUUAUGCCGGUGAUUGCUUCGAGUAGAGGGAUUGCUAUUCGGAAGUUUUGAAGAUUAAGAGUUUCAAGAAAGCAAGAGCUGAAAAGCAAUAAAAGUAACUUUUCUUUGGAGAAAGGCAAGUGUCCCUAACCAUCCUUCUAUCUACGCUUAUUUACAAGAAUAUCUUGUAUUAAUUGGAACAUGGAGUGACCACGUACAACCAUAAGAUCAACAAGCUCUGAUCUUGACUAAUUAAUUAGAUACUCUAAUUUGUGAUAAUCUUACCAAAAGAGCAAGAGGGGCUCAUAGGUUGUGCGAUGGCUUGUCCAGCCAAGGGGUGUACGCACCACUUGGGGGGAGGGUUCAUCUACAAGGAAGUCUUAGCGGGUUAUCACUUAUUAGGGAACCUUUGUAAAAGUGUAAUAGCGUCCCUAUGCAAUCAUACCUCGGUAGUGUGAUAAGUAUUUUGUACAGCAUAGUUGGGUAUAAAGUUCUUUUGAACUAUUACGCGACCUGUGCACAUGAUCGAUUAAAACUAAGGCUUCAAGUCAAUCGAUUGCUGAAAGUUUUGAGUCAAUCGAUUGUUCUCAUGAUUCUUUUAUUUUCUCGUGAAUCAUUGUGUCAAUUGUAUAUGCGGUUGCUAUUAUUUGUCUGCGUAUUUAUUGGGCAAAGCUCUGAUCAUGUUGUUCAACACAAGAUGAGGGAUCAAUUGGUUCAUUAAUGCUGCCCUAUAAUUCACGAAUAAAAACACCGCAGUUGUUGGAGUCAAUGGCAGAGCCAAAUGAAGUAACAGCGAGGACUUGAGUGUUAUCUUGUUCAUAGGAGAUGGUUAAGGUGGCCUUGGUUCUGAUGAAUGGUAUGGGAUAUAAGGCAUUGUUGGAACCACCGUACCGUCUGUGGAAUAUGUUGCAAUGCCAGGAACAAUCAUGUGCAUUAGGAAAUGGGAAAUUUUUUAGCGAAAUCCUUUGGAUAAUAGAUUGAUAAAUUGAAAGUAGAUAAAAAAAGAUCACACAAUCGAUUUGAUGGACGUAAUUGCACACCAAAUCCUCAGCACAAUGCGCACGAGUGUAUGACAACUAUAUGUAUGCCUGCACAGCCGGGUUCACUAGGCAUGUAGUAUCGAGCUAAGCUAUGGUGCGGCCACCGUCAACGCAGAUGACCUGGCCGGACAUGUAGGAUGCUGCCGGCAUGCACAGGAAGGCCACCAUCGAUGCCACUUCCUCCGGCUCACCGAUCCUCCCCAUGGGCAGCAGCGCCAUCUCCUUCUUCACCAGCUCCGGGUCUAUGGUCUCCUGCAUGCUCAGAACACAUUUAACAUAUACUAUUAGGUUAAUUAUCAUCAUAAUCUCACAAACAUAACAAUAAUGCAAUAAGAAUUCUAGCUUCCAACUAACGAGAAUCGACCAAUGCAUGGAGAAAUACUAUAUACAGGUAACAGCUGGUUGAUGUUAGGUAAGCUUACAUCUCUGCUGAUGUCAGUCUUGAUUCCACCGGGUGCCACGCAAUUGACACGGAUGCCAUCACGGGCCCAUUCUGUGGCAAGGCUCCUGGUGAGCUGGUUCAUGGCGCCCUUGGUCAUGGAGUAGAUAGUGAGCGCUGGUAGCCCAAUGAAACCGGCAACGGAGGAGAUGUGGACCACGCUGCCGCCACUGCCACUGGCGAGGAGGAGCGGGUGCGCGAGCUGGCUGAGAUGGUAGCAGGAUUCGAGGUUGGUUGCCAUGAGCCGGGCGUAGUCGUCGCUUGUGCACUCCGUAGCGUUCUUGAACGUGCACUGUCCAGCGUUGUUCACCUGCACGCGUGCCUAGGAAUUAGCAAAUGUUUGGAGAGCUCUUCCUGAAAAUGGUUCUCUGAGAAAUAUGAUUAUUAUGUACGCAAUCGUGAUUCUUUACGAUAAACUUUACAGAGGAAGUGAAUUAGGAGGGAUCAUCUCAUUUCAUUUCAUGUAAUCACUCACACGGAAUCAUUCUAGACUAAUUCUAAACAAAUUACUUCCUCCCUAUCAAAAUAAUAUUUGUCGCUAUUACCUUUUGAUCCCAAUGUUCGACCAUUUGUCUUAUUCAAAACCUUAUGCAUGUGACCUACUUUACCAUCAAAAGUGUUUUAAACAUGACUUAACUUUUCAUAUAUUUGUAAUAAAUUUUUGUAUAAGACAAAUGGUUAUGUUGCAAGAAAAGGACAAUAGCAACAAAUAUUUCGAUAAGGUAGUACUAUUUAGCAGAGCUUCCUCCUGAAAAACUAUAGGGGGUCUACUAAACAGGCUCUUAGUUUAUUUAUUUAACUGAUGACCGAUUCAUUGAGAUUCAAUCAAACGGUGAUGAUGCUUACAAGAAUGUCAAGCUUGCCCCCGAAGGUGGCCUUGACGGUGUCCAUGAGCCUUUCCCGGUCAGUACGCACGGAGACAUCGCAGACGGAGACGGUGACGACGAGCCCGUCCUCCGCCCACCGCCGGCGGCACUCCUCCAGCUCCGCCGCGUUCCGGGCGCACGUGUGCACCCGCGCGCCGAACCCGGCCAGCUCUUCGACGAUCGCGUGCCCGAUCCCCUUACUGCCGCCGGUGACGAGCGCCGUCGCUCCGGCGAGGGUCCACCUCUCCUCUCGACUCCCGCCGGCAGCCGCCGCCAUAGCCUGCUGCAAGUGCAACCAGCGGUUCUUGAUUACUGCCAAGUAUGCUUAGAGCGUGUAUGAGCGAGGUAUUUAAGAAAGAAAUCAACAGCAUGGGCGCGAGUGAUAAUGACUGAUUCUUCUGUGAUCGGUAGACGGAUGCUAAGAUGCGUUGUGAUGGCAGUAGCAGUUAGAGGCAACCUAAACGCCAACAAGUAGAGAUACGGCGCACAAGAGAAGACUUCUACCGGCCUGCCGCCCUGCCGUCCAACGGCUGCUGGACUUUAUUUGAAGAUCGAGACCGGCCACAACAGCAUAUACACUCCGCUACCGGUACCGGCCGGUUGAAUUUUCACACCUUGUGUCCUUGUCUUAGUUUGCUGAGCUGAGACUGAAAAUGAUGUAGCAUUGUAUAACCAGGAGAGGUUUUCAAUACUAUAUAUGCUGCGGCACCUUUUUUAUGUAUAUCUCAUAUUCCGUAACACGAAAUUAACGCAUAUAAAAGUGUUUGCAGAUAUAUAUGAUAUGAAUAUAAUUCUUCUAAAUUUAUUGGUCAAAUUCUUAAGAUCGAUCGCUAUUGGUCAAAGAUUAAGAAUUUUUAAUCUUGAAAUGUAUACAUGUCCUACGAAAAGAAAAGGAGUAUAAACUAGCAAGAACGAUCGAGUUUUCAUAUUAACUCAUUUUCAAUCUUGAUUCUCUACAUGUGACAAAGGUCGGUAAAUCAAGACAACAAUAUUGUCCGGCAUAGAGAUUCAUAUUGUGACAGACUUCAAAUUUAAAAUUUCCUCGGUUAUUGUUUCUACCCUCUUCCUAAUAUGACGCAUUAUUCUCCUAUUUUUCUUUCCCCAUGAGUCUUCAAUUUUUUUUUAGAAUUCACAAACUACCAAUAUUUUGUGCUGCUAGGAUCACAAAUAUUUAUAAUCCUGUGAAGCUGGUCCACCAAGUAAAAUUCACUCCAUUUAUCCAGUUUAUUAGUAUGCUAGAAAAAUUCAGAAUUAACACAAUUUGUUUUCUACUAUUAAGGUCAUACAACAGUGAUCCAUCAUAAUAGUUUAUAGACAUUAUUUAAUACAUCGAUCUUGUCCUGAAUGUUAAGUAGUUGGUUCAUCUCUAUCUGCAUUAUAUUAUCCACUGCCUGAAAGAGAACGUGGACGCAAAUUAGCACUAUACAUAUCGCCUCUGAGGCUCUGACCAUACCAUAGAAAAAAAUUAGCACAAUUAUGUGAAGAGAAACACACACGACAAGUUGACUUAACUUUGUCGUGCGUUGAGCUGCUAAUGUCAAAGAUCUGCAUUUAUACAAUGCAUAAUCACCUGAAUAUCUAAAGGUAGGCAAGCAACACACAUGUAAUAAAUAAAUUAAUUGGCAAGCUAGAUUGGAAAUUUAAGUCGUCAGCAAAAUGUUGUGCACCCUGUCACAUCUUUGAAUCAUCAUCGGCAUUGACAUUAAUUUCUUAAAGGAAAAAUAAGUAUUCCCUGAGUUCCAUCAAAGCAUAGGUCUCUCAUUUUUACUUCCAGAAAUUAGGGUUAUGUGAACCCUAAGAAGACUGUUAAAUAAACUAGGAACAAUAAAUUCACUAAGAAUACGCUAGACUGUCCAUAUCACUAGAAAGGUCUGGCGAGUACUUGUUUACAAGGUCAUUUAAAAUGCAUGAUUGUCUGACAAAUUAACUUAGCAGUAUGGGCCAGAUAGUAAAAACAAAGGCAAAAAUUUUAUUCCCUUCGAUUAGGAUUAUACAAAAGAAACAACCAAUAUAGCUAGCUUGAAUAUUUAGCUGAGGUGAUUGUACAUCCUUCGCACCAAGGGUACAGUCUGCAUUAAUGCAUUAACAAAUUAAUCAAUUCAUAUCUUGUCCUUUUCUUUUCUAUAUGUAAAUUUUUGGCAGUUGGAGGGUUUAAAUAUCACCGGUUUUUACUAUCCUUUGCAUUGAUGUUCUAUAUUUUCUGGUCCUUGUGUGUCAGAGGAACUAAAAAGUUGAAUGAAAAGUUAAGGGAGCGUUUUGGUUCCCUUUGCUUAUUUUUAGCACGUGUCAUAUCGAAUGUUUAGAUACUAAUUAGGAGUAUUAAACGUAGAUUAUUUACAAAACACAUUACAUAAGUGGAGGCUAAACGGGCGAGACGAAUCUAUUAAGCCUAAUUAAGCCUAAUUCAUCCAUUAUUAAAUAAUANNNNNNNNNNNNNNNNNNNNNNNNNNNNNNNNNNNNNNNNNNNNNNNNNNNNNNNNNNNNNNNNNNNNNNNNNNNNNNNNNNNNNNNNNNNNNNNNNNNNAUCAAUAUAGUGAUUAAUAUAUAGUCUCUGGUUGCAUGCAUAAUAUAAUCGAGCUAAACAUGAAAUGCAUGCAUCAGAUAUUGAAAUUUACGAGACGACACUAGUUUUUUUUUUCUAGAUUAGUGUCCAGGUUUAACAAAUUGUUUUUGCCAAGCGAUGACAUUUGAGCUAAAACCCAACGAAGAAUGUUGGCUCUACACUGCACUACAUGCAUGGCCAGCAACUACAUUGCAAAAAACAAUCUGCUAGUGCCGUCCAUGUCUUCUCUGUGCUUCAGGUCGAGAUACUCAUAAACUGCAUCUGACCACGGAUCAAAGCCAGAUGACGGAAAUUAACAAAACCCUAAUGCACCAUUGACUUGAGCCGAUCGACCGUUGAUCUGCCGAUGUCAAGGGUAUCUCAAAUAAUGAAUCUCAUGUAUAUUCUUUGGCUAUCUGAGCUAAGAGUUCAUGCCUAUAUCAGAUGUUAAAUGGUAUGUCGGCAAGAAGAAAACUCUAUAUAAACUAGAAAUUCUAUAAGAGGAACAUGGCAGGAGGAUUGCUCGGCCGUCACUAUCUUUGGGUGCAUUCAUAUAUCUUUGCAAGAAAUUGACCUGCAUAUAUGGUUACAUCUAAUCAGUCUACUGACCUUGUGAGGUGGCUAAGUUAUAGUUAUUAACUCCCAUGAACAUGAUUAGCCUAGCUUCGAAGUCACAACACACCUUGAUACCAAUCUGGUAGACUUGCAUUGGGAGAUACUAUACUGGUGUAUACUAAUCAAUUAUUUUGGGAGAUACUGCACAUAUGGGUGUAGAUACGCGAUCUUUUUCAUGGAGUAGUGGUGAUCACAUGCAUCGAGAUGUAGCCGAGUUUUUCUAUUAAGAGCAGCAAAUCAAAGUCAAAUGAUGUCGAAGAUGCGUACGUGUCAGCGUGCGCCUUCCAGUUGACUCUUAAUUAGCAUAUAUGUUAGUUCUGGGAUUUGCCGUUUUAGUCAAAGUCCUGAAUAUUCUCUUUUCUUAGUAGGAGUCAUGAGUCAACAUACUAAGAUAAUUGCCCAUUGGUUGGCUUAGUUGAAACAGAGCAAAACAGUACAUAUGCAGCCGCCUCCACACGCAGGAGAGAAAGCUAAUGGGAAAUGGCCAAAUCAUUUCUAGUUUCACAAAAAAAAAUUCAGUAAGCCAUGAAUAUGGUAUUGUCGGAGAUCAAGAUGGCAUUGGUAGGAGAAUUGAAACCGAAAGUAUCCAAGUAAAAACACAUCAAUAUGUGUCAUAGAUCAAUAGCUUUAGUUAAAACAAUUAUCAUACAUAGAAAUGUUUAAUUGAGUAAUAGACAUUUCACAAGUCACGACUUUAAUACAUGAUUAUACUCGAAGGAACGAAGACAGGGUGCUGUAAGGUGAUGUGGUUGGUUUAGCUUGAGCCGACCCCUUGGCCCUUGUGGGUGGUUAUAGGUGGGAUGUGAAGAGAAAGUAGGAAUUCACUGAAAGCAUAUCAAAUAGGAAAAACUGAAAAUGAUCGAAAGGAUCAAAAUCAUUAUCACUCUUGCUUUUGUAUUUCUUUUUUAUUAUUUUAUUUCAUUUUUUCGUUAUCAUUCUUGUCUCCUUAUUAUCCUAAAAUUCAGGGGAAAAAUUCGAAAACAAGCCCCUGUAAAUAGGAUGUUCGUUUUCACUUUCAUUCAUGGAGAUGCGUACAAGAAAAUAAAAACGGAGCUUCCAAAGGAAAACCAAUCGAAUGUCCUUUGAUUUUAAGUUAUUGGAGAACAUGAAUUUUUAUCGACAUUACUAAAAUAUUACCUAAAAAUUAGCAGUUACUUAGUAACUAAAUUCAAAAUUAACUAAUUAUAGCCAACGUGUUGCUCUUCUUCUAUCUCAGCCUCUUCUCUCUCGACCUGAUUUAUGCAAUGUCUCCACAACCAGCACUAUACGCCAAUUGCUUAUGCCGCACCCGCACUACAGGCAUUUCUAGCCACAUUCUUUCUGGUCCUGCCAUCGCCUCAGCUCCUUCCGGAUUUCCUCUACCAUACCUUCUUGCCUUGCAUGUUGAGAAAAAAAUUAUGCACUAGAAGGCCUUACAACAGUUGAUUUUUUUUGUUUCGUCGUCUCUAAUUUAAAGCACAAAUAUGAGUUUUCAAAAUUCAGAUCAUGUAGCCUUACAACACUUAUCAUGCAUGUGAGACUUAACCCCUUUUUUCUUCUUUUUAAAGUCACAAAUUGAUACAAUCACACUAGAAAAAAAACAAGCUUAUAUUACAAGAUGUAUUCAACGGAAGUGGAUUACACAUCCAAACCAGAAAUCCUCAGCACAAUGCACUCAAAUGUACAAACAGAAUGUAGUGUGCCAGUAGCUGGUCUCACGUGCGCAUACAUACACGUGCGAGACACGUGACAACUGGACUGAUAUAAGCUAGCUAGCUAAGCUAUUGUGCGGCCGCCGUCAACGCAGAUGACUUGUCCGGUCAUGUAGGACGCCGCCGGCAUGCAGAGGAAUGCCACCAUGGACGCCACCUCCUCCGGCUCGGCGAUCCUCCCCAUCGGCAGCCGUGCCAUCUCCUUCUUCACUAGCUCCGGGUCAAUCGUCCUCUGCUCAAUCCAUCAGUUAAUCAAAGUUAAUUCAAAUAAAAACUAUAUCGAUCAGAUGAUGAUCAACUGAUGAGAAUUAAGUAACUAACUUACAUCAUUGCUAAUAUCAGUCCUGACUCCACCAGGCGCGACGCAGUUGACGCGGAUGCCGUCGUGGGCCCACUCCGCGGCGAGGCUCCUGGUGAGCUGGUUCAUGGCACCCUUGGUCAUGGAGUAGACGGCGAGCGCCGGGAGCCCAAUGAAGCCGGCGACCGAGGAGAUGUGGACCACGCUGCCGCCGGUGCUGCUGGCCAGCAGGAGCGGGUGCGCGAGCUGGCUGAGGUGGAAGCACGACUCGAGGUUGGUCGCCAUGAUACUCGCGUAGUCCUCGCCGGUGCAAUCCGCCGCCGCCUUGAACAGCGACUGCCCCGCAUUGUUCACGAGGAUGUCGAGCUUGCCGUCGAAAGUGUCCUUGACGGUGGCCAUGAGGUCCUCACGAUCAGAGCGCACGGAGACGUCGCAGACCGAGACGGUGACCUGCAGACCCUUCUCCUCCCAUCGCCGGCGGCACGCCUCCAGCUCCGCCGCGUUGCGAGCACACGUGUGCACGCGCGCGCCGAACCCCGCCAGCUCCUCGACGAUGGCAUGCCUGCGAUCACGUCCAUGGAUGUUAUUGUAACUGCACGCAUAUUAACGAACUAAUAAGUAGAAGAUCACAAGCUCAUCAGGCCUCAUAAUGUACCCGAUGCCCUUGCUGCCGCCGGUGACGAGCGCCGUUGCUCCGGCGAGGCUCCACCGCUCGGCCAUGCUCCUGCCGGCAGCCACCAUAUUCUAACUCUCUCUGCUCCUCGACUUGUAGAGAAAUGUGAUCGAUGGAUGUGGAGUGCAAAUGAGACUACGAUGAGAUGGAUGAGAUGCUACUCCACAUCCAUGCAAUGUGUAUUUAUAGGGAUCUGACAUUCUGAGAAGAUGGCACCCCUAUCGAAAUGUCUACUCCACAUCCGAGCAGAUGAGUUGCUGACUUUGAAUAAAGUAGUAUAAGACCAUACACGUUCAUCUGACGGCCGGAUUUGGACAGAUACGGCGCACAAGAAGACGGCUACCGGCCGGCCGGGCGACGACUCCUGGUUUGUUUGAAGCAUCCGUCCAUGAUAACAUACUGAUCCAGAGAACAAUUUCAAAUACUACUUUAUUUAUAAAAUUCCACUCCCAUUCAACUAUCAUGCGUAUGUGUCGUGUGUCCAAUUGUCUCAAUUUGCUGACCUGAGCAAACAGGAGCCAAUAAUGACUGACUGCUCAAACUAAUUAAAAAUGUCACUGUCUAAGUAUAGGUGAGCACACCAAAAAAAAGUAAAAGGACCCAUUGAAAGACAAAACGAUAUUAUGCAUGCCUAUAUGCAUACACAAUUACACAUUAACUAAUUCUGGAGUCUUCUCUCUCCUCGUGUACACAAGAGGAGAUACCGUUCAUGUUGCUACACAACUUUAAGUUUUAAUUGCGUUCUUUUUUUUUCUCAUUUAUUCAACCUUAGUGAAUCACUUGUCAGAUGGCACCAACGUAACUAAUUAGUAAUGCCACAUAGACUCAAAGCUUAAUUAUUUUUUCAAUCCAGAGUUUGAUCAUACAAUGAACAACCAUCCUAAUAGACAUUUUAACUCACUACUGCAAAAAUGAUUUGUAGGCGCGCCCUAUUUUUUAGGAGCGGACCGAAAGACCACCCGCUCCUACAAUAAAAAUAAGAUUUUCAGGGACGGUCGCCCACCCUUGAAAAUAAGGCUCUUUCCAGGGGCGGCUCACCCCAUUCCCGCUCCUAGAAAUCCAUGCCCGCAAUUUUUUUUAUCUUUUCAUCCGAUCUCUAGAGCCGAGUGAUCCCCUCGCCCGAUGCUAGAAAAGAAUCUGCAGGUGCGGAUGAGGCCGGGAAUCAUCCCCCCCGCCACCCCGGAAAGGAUUUUGCAGCAGCGGCUCGUGACCCACUCCUGCAAACAGCUAUUUCUAGCUACGAAAAGCAAGAGCGGGUGCCUGACCCACCCCUGCAAACCCUCUUCUACCCACCCUGAAAAAACUUUUUCUGUAGUAGCGACUGUUCAAUAUAUUGAUCUACUUUUAUAUGUUAAGUAGUCAAUUUUCUGUUUUAAUAUAAACUAGUCAUAGUCAGUUUUCUCUAUAUCUUUUGUUCGCACUGCCUGACAGAUAACGUGCACCGAGAUUUGACUGCCAUAUAUUAAAUUCCAAGGGCGCAAUACAUUGCUUCCAAACAUAGCUACAGAAAAAGUAGCACUAUAAUGUAUGAAAAAUUAUAUAUACAUGACAAGGAGUUGACUUAAUUUUGUCGUGCGUUGAGCUGCUAAUGUCAAAGUUACGAAUACAUAUAAUGCAUAAUCACCUGAAUAUACAAAGGUAAGGACCUACCAUGCUUUUUUUAAUACAAUUAAGCAAGCUAUUAAACUAGAGAUGAACUUCAUGUCAUGAGCAAAACUGUGUGCACUCUGCCAGGUGUCCACGAUUUGAGUCGCCUUCAACUUAACAUAGUUAUCAUGGAAAGCAUUUAGUCUGGUGUAUGGUUGGUAAAUUAAGUAAGAAUCUCGAUCGGGUCAAAUAUUAUUGUUGAAGCGUUUCUGACUUUCACAGCCUAGGAAAUAUGGAUACAAUAAUUUCCUUUGAUUGACGCCAAAGGUAAACGACCAAACUUUUCGACCUUUGAAAACAUUUGGGAGGGUGAGCUUGUUUAUAAAAUGGCUGUGCUUAGUAUUAUGCAACAAAAUAUGUUUGUGUCUGCAUUUGUACUGAGAGGCGACCAUAUCUCCAUUUUAUUAUCAAUCUAUGAGGCUUACAUCUGACCAAAAAGACACACUAAUGUGCAUCGUUGAAUUCAUUGAGCCGAUCGUUGAUCUGCUAGUGUCAAUACUAUGCGAAUAAUCCAUAUUGUGCAGCAAGAGAUGCAUGCAUCAAGAUGUUGAAACUUAUGAGACAAUUUAUUUCUACUAGUUUUACUUUCUUGAUUGUUGGUGUACGAAUUUCUAACAUUGGAGUUUCUGACUGCACAUCUUAUACAUCAUUUAUCAACAUUGCAUACAAAGAGGAAAAAGAGAAACAAUCACUGAGUGCCGCCCAUAUCUGACCAAAAGCCAGAUCACAGAGCUUAAGAAGAAAACCUAAUGCGCCAUUGACUUAAGCCGGGUGUUGAUCUGCCGGUGUCAAGGUAAUCUCAAAUAAUGGAUCAUGAAUAUUCUUUGGCUGUCCAUCUGGCAGCAAAUGCGUGCAUAUCAGAUGUUGAAAUCGCAUGUCGGCAAGAAGAACAUGGCAGGAGGAUUGCUCCGCCGUCACUAUCUUUUGGGUGCAUUCAUCCUUGCAAGAGACACAAGAAAUGCCUAAUGCUAGUUCUAGUUGAUCAGCAAAGAUUGGGCAAGAUCACAAGUCACAAAGCCGAUGAUGCUCGUCUUAUAGACAUGUAGCGUACAGACCGGGAUACCCAAUCCUGGAUUAAUCCUCUGUAGGAGAUGAGUGCAAUAGUACAAGUGGUGUACAGAUUGGUGCAGAUACGCAAAUCUUCCCCAUUAACGAGCACUUCGGUAAUCGAUCACAUGGAGAGAUGUUGCCAGGUUUUUUUUAACCCAGGGAAAUGAAACCAAAGUCAAACCAUGUCGAAGCUGCAACGCGAAUGCAAGUGCAUUCCUGCAGAAUCUUAUUUUGCUUGUGUUUACGAUUUUCGUUUGAGUAACAAGUGUAGAAAUAUGUGGUUUUUUUUGUUUUUUAUAUAUUCAUCUGAAAGAGUCUAGAAAUCUAUAAAAAAAUUUUUACCACAAAAGGAUGUUUAGAAAGAUAUCGGCACUGUGGUAUACGGGAUUCGGCCCAAAAUUGUGUUGCACAAUUUGGUAAGUAUGGGAACCACAGGCCGCCUAAGGCAAUAUAGGCCCAGCGACUUUGACUGGGAAUAAAAAAAAAGGCGUGAAACUAAGACAGCGCUCAUUGGCAUGACGGCCCGCGUGGCAAGGAGCAGCCCAACGCUCCUUCACGGCCCAAAAGCACCCCUGCUUCAAACACCCUAGUUUUCAGGAACGUCCAACAUUGUAUUUUUUUUUUUUGUCUAAUGAACGGGGAUGUAAAAUAUACAUAUAGAAUAGGCACAGCAGCAAUAUUCAAACAGCAUUCCGAAGUCUCUGGCUCGAGCCUGGUGAUAGAUGCUAGCUCAUUAGCUAGGGACGCCACCUCCAAAUAUUUGAUUUCAAUCUGUAAGAAGUCAGCACCAUCUCCAUUCCAAAAUACAAGAUGUUUUAAUUUUUUUUUCUAAGUCAAAUAUAUCUAAUUAAGAUUAUAGAAAAAUAUAUUAAUGUGUAAAAUAAAAAAAAUAAUGCACUAUCAAGAUAUUUGUUGGUGGAUUUAAUAAAAUUACUUUAACAUUGCAAUUAUUUUGUAUUAUUUUCUUAUAAACUUUGUCAAAGUUUGAGAAAUUUAACUUUAUAAAGUAUAAUUUAAAUUCUCAACUGAAGUGCACUGUGUUAGAGGUGCAAAGGAUCCAGCUUAACUCACUAUACUCACGAGUCACGAGCCAGCGCUGUGUGCUCCUAAUGGUUAUUUUGUAAUAUGUUCAACAAAUUAAAGAUGUUGCAUUCUGGUGAAAGGCUAGAGUUUUCUCAAUAUUUGGAGCUGUUGGAAGAACAUGGAAUCAAGCUGAAAACCCUUGUACAUUACAAGAAGAUAAGAUUACAAAUACAUUCAACCAAAACACAAACAGAGACGGAAGACACAACAAUGAAGAAGCCGUUGGCACCAUUAUUUCUGCUUCACCUUCACUCUCAACACAAACCAUAUCUCGAUCAGGUACUGACCAAACCAACGCAGUUGGCCAGUAGCCGUGCCAAAGUUGGUUCUUCCCCGGCGCCGGCGGACAAAGUCACCCGCUCGAUCAGGCGCUAAUGGUCCGACCUCCGUCGACGCGGACGACCUGGCCGGUAACGUAGGACGCUGCCGGCAAGCACAGGAACGACACGACGACGGUGGACGUACACGUCCUCCGGCUCGCCGAUCCGCCGCGUCGGGAUCCGUGAGUCCUCUUGCUCCAGUGCCCCGGGCGAAACAUGUGUGUGUAGCAUACGUGUCAACAUGCUCCUUUCAACAUAUAAUGUGUAACUAACUCGUUGAACAAAUACUUACGCCUUUCACCAUGUCAGUCAUGAUCAUGCCCGGCGCGACGCAGUUCGCACGAAUCUUAUCACGGGCCCACUCGGCAGCCAAGCUCCUCGAUCUAUCGUCAGCUGGUUCAGUCCUCCUGCAACGAUGAAGCUGGAGUAGAGCGCUUCCCCGGGGAAGGCGAUGAAGCUGGCGAUGGAGGAGACGUGGACGAUGAUGGUUCAGGUGGAAGCACGACUCCAGGUUGGUCGCCAUGACGUGUUAUGCCACUGGCCAUUGAGUAGUGUCAAAAUAUCAGAAAUGGAUCAUGCAUGAUGCAUGUAUUGACUUUGUGAGGUGGCAUAGCUAUAGUUUUAGUUGAGUCCCAUGAGCGUGAUUAGCCGAUGAUGCUAGUCUGACAGACUGGUAUAGAGCCUACAUUAAUCCUCUGUAUUGAGAUCGAUGCGUACAAGUGGUGUACAGAUGUGUUUAGAUACACGCUUAUAUCCUCCCUAAUAUGGGACUUCGAAUUUGCUGAAAUUACAUGAAGAUAUUGCCGAGUUUUUUAACCAGUAAAAUUAAGGUCAAACAAUAUAUUCUAGUACUGAACAGUCAUUGGCCAAAAACAUGUUUUGAAUUUUCCAACAAUAUAACUAUAAUGUUCUAUAGUAAGAUUGUUUGUCUCAGUUAUGAAAAUCCUUUUUUCGGUGGAUAUGAAAAAUUAAUGGUCAAUGUUAUAUCUGUAUUGUUCUAGUAGCGAAAACUCCUAUUUCAGUAUUAAAUUUUGUAUUGUUUAAAAGGUGAGAAUUUAUUGUUGCAUGUAUUUUAGCAAUAGUAUUAGAGGGGGAGAAAAAAAUAAUGAAAUAGAAAGAGUGAAGGAAAGGAAAGGAAAGAAAAUAUGUAAGACUUGUUGCAAAGAGUAAACCGUCCGCAACUCUCUAAUUGACUGCCCAGCAGUCUUCCAUUGCAGACAAACCAAAUUUCUAUUCCACAACAGUUGCUCCAUGCAAACAAAUUUUUGUUGCACCUUGUGCAAAACAUUAGGCUACACCAUCUAUUAACAAUCACUACCGGAAACAGUUGUUUUGCCGAGUGCCCCAGGCACUCGGCGAAGGCCCCAUUACACUCGGCAAAUGGUUUGCCGAGUGUAACACUCGGCGAAGUCGACUCGGCAAAGUUUUUCUCGGCAAACAGGCUGUUUGCCGAGUGUCGAUCGUCGGGCACUCGGCAAACAUUUUACCGAGUGCAACAAUACACUCGGCAACACUAAACACUCGGCACAAAGACGUUAACGGUCGUUCACGGCGACGGAAGCUUUGCCGAGUGUCUGACGGCCGACACUCGGCGAACUCUACUCCUUUGCCGAGUGUUUUACUAAAUGCACUCGGCAAACUCUACACCUUUGCCGAGUGUUUUACUAAAUGCACUCGGCGAACUCUACUCCUUUGCCGAGUGUAUUUUUCCCAAAACACUCGGCAAAAAUCCAUGUUUCGCCGAGUGCCUGCCCCGUGGCACUCGGCGAAGAAGCCCCACCCGCCAUUUUUAUUUUGUUGUUUGCCGAGUGCAUUUUUGCAAGACACUCGGCAAACAUACAAUGUUCGCCGAGUGCCACGGGGCAGGCACUCGGCGAAGAAGCCAGGCCUGCUAUUUUUUACGACCGCUUUGCCGAGUGUUCUUCCAAAAACACUCGGCAAAUGGCCUGUGUUUGCCGAGUGCCUACCUAUGGCACUCGGCAAACAAGCAAUUCCGCCGUUUCUUUGGCCCCUUUGCCGAGUGUUUGGAGAAUACACUCGGCAAACGCGUCUACUACUACCAGAAAUGGUCUCUUUGCCGAGUGUUAACACUCGGCAAAGUGUCCUAAUUCCUGCUACAAAAUAGAAAUGUUAGGUAUAAAGGACCCCUCUCAAAAAACAACCACAGAUACACAGGCAUAUUAAUGGCAGCACAAGCAUAUAAAUUGCACCACAGGAUUCACAAGCACACAAAUAGCAUUCAUAAGUUCUCGUCUAAAUAAGUAAUUCAUAAGUUCUCCACGACUUGCCGGCUCUAGGAGGCAUCAUGUCUAGCUUUGGUCUGUUGCAUAACCUUGCUUGAUCUACUCUAGCCUUGACGUUAUCCUUUGUCUUGUCAGGAAUGUCCAUGAUUGUACCAAAAAUUGCCUCAGCGAUGUUCUUUUCAGUGUGCAUAACAUCAAUAUUAUGUGGGAGAAGAAGAUCGUCAAAAUAGGGGAGAUUCCACAAGCAAGACUUCUGAGUCCAAGCAUGUUGCUCGCCAUAUCCCACAAACCCACCUUCAUGAUUAUUGACCUCAAGAGCGUCUAUCUGAGCACGAACCAAGGCUAAGGUCAACAUCUGCGGUGGGGGCUCAUUAACUACGACAUCUUUCGUAAAAUUUCUAAUAUCUGUUCUGAAAGGAUGGUCAGGAGGAAGGAAUUGUCGAUGUUUGUCGAAUGAAGAAUACUUGCCACCCUUGGUCAACCAAGUGAACUUCACUGAAGCCUUGCAUACUGGGCAGGGGAACUUCCCGUGAACACACCAGCCACAGAAAAUACCAUAUGCCGGCAAGUCAUGCAGGGAAUAGUGGUACCAAAUAUGCAUCUUGAAGUUUGUCCGUGUAGCCCAGUCGUAUGUCCAUACCCCUUCCUCCCAUGCACGGACCAAAUCAUCUAUCAGAGGCUCCAUGUACACACUCAUAUUAUUCCCUGGAUGUUCUGGAAUUAUCAACGAUAAAAAUAUGUUUUGUCGCUGAAAGAUGACACCAGGGGGGAGAUUCAAGGGGAUAACAAACAUAGGCCAACAUGUGUACGGGGCAGCCGCCAUUCCAUACGGAUUGAACCCAUCUGUUGCGAGCGCAACACGUACAUUACGAGCCUCUCGAGCUUUCGCAUCAUAAAUGGCAUCAAACUUUGUCCAGGCUUCACCAUCGGAUGGAUGUACCAGCUUGUCAGCAUUGUAUCGACGUCCGUUUUUAUGCCAUGUCAUUUGUUUCGCGGAUUCUUCACACAUGUACAGCCGUUGGAUCCUCGGUAUGAAGGGAAGGUACCGUAGAAUCUUCACAGGGAUUGCAAGCUGCUUCUUCUGACCGUCACUAGAGUCUACCUCCAGGAAUCUAGAUGAUUCGCACUUCACACAGUACUUGGCUUCCGCAUAUUCUUUCCUAAAUAAGAUGCAUCCCUUCGGGCAAGCAUGUAUCUGCUCGUAUGGCAUCUUAAGUGCACGAAGAAGUUUUUGUGCCUCAUACAUAGACUUUGGUAAGAUGUGACCCUCCGGGAGCAGGCUCCCAAAAACUGUCAACAUAAUAUCGAAGGCGUCUCGACUCAAGCUAAACUGGGACUUCACGGCCAUUAGACGUGCAAUGGCAUCCAGUUGAGAGACCUUGGUAUGCCCGUGAAGGGGUUGUUGUGCCGCAGACAACAUGUCGUAAUACGCCUUUGCGGUAGCCUCGGGCUCCUCCUCCCUAUGAGCUUCAUGAUAGUCAUCUAACAUGUCUCCCACCCCGGCGUCAUCAUCAUAUUGCUCGAUACGUUGCCUGAUGACCUCGUCCCUCCCACGAUCGACCUCACCAUGGUAGAUCCAUAUGGUAUAGUCUGACGUAAAUCCGUGCCUAACAAGAUGUUUACCCAUUCCUAACUUGGUUUGCCGACGCAUGUUUCCACAUUUGCUACACGGACACCAAGUUUCUCUUCCUCCUUUGAUCCUUGCAAAUGCCCGUUCCAAGAAAGCAUCGGUCUUAUUUAUCCAUUCAUCGGUCAACGAAUUCUGACUAGAUCGGCCCGUGUACAUCCACUGACGAUCCUCCAUCCUCUACCAUACCAGCAAGUAAUAUAAACACUCAAGUUGCAUCUACACGUUCCUAUAUUGUCUAUUAGGUAAAGAUAGGUCCUAAUCCCACACGAGGAUGUGUAGGUGGGAUUAGUUUCCAUGGUCUACUCCGACCCGAGAUAGAAUUUCGGCAGCACCUCCCCGCUGUUCUCCAAAUACACGUCCUGUGAUGGAGAUUGUGUAUCCGGAGAGCGCUAGGUACUGAGGGACAGUCCGCGCUGCACGUAACNNNNNNNNNNNNNNNNNNNNNNNNNNNNNNNNNNNNNNNNNNNNNNNNNNNNNNNNNNNNNNNNNNNNNNNNNNNNNNNNNNNNNNNNNNNNNNNNNNNNNNNNNNNNNNNNNNNNNNNNNNNNNNNNNNNNNNNNNNNNNNNNNNNNNNNNNNNNNNNNNNNNNNNNNNNNNNNNNNNNNNNNNNNNNNNNNNNNNNNNNNNNNNNNNNNNNNNNNNNNNNNNNNNNNNNNNNNNNNNNNNNNNNNNNNNNNNNNNNNNNNNNNNNNNNNNNNNNNNNNNNNNNNNNNNNNNNNNNNNNNNNNNNNNNNNNNNNNNNNNNNNNNNNNNNNNNNNNNNNNNNNNNNNNNNNNNNNNNNNNNNNNNNNNNNNNNNNNNNNNNNNNNNNNNNNNNNNNNNNNNNNNNNNNNNNNNNNNNNNNNNNNNNNNNNNNNNNNNNNNNNNNNNNNNNNNNNNNNNNNNNNNNNNNNNNNNNNNNNNNNNNNNNNNNNNNNNNNNNNNNNNNNNNNNNNNNNNNNNNNNNNNNNNNNNNNNNNNNNNNNNNNNNNNNNNNNNNNNNNNNNNNNNNNNNNNNNNNNNNNNNNNNNNNNNNNNNNNNNNNNNNNNNNNNNNNNNNNNNNNNNNNNNNNNNNNNNNNNNNNNNNNNNNNNNNNNNNNNNNNNNNNNNNNNNNNNNNNNNNNNNNNNNNNNNNNNNNNNNNNNNNNNNNNNNNNNNNNNNNNNNNNNNNNNNNNNNNNNNNNNNNNNNNNNNNNNNNNNNNNNNNNNNNNNNNNNNNNNNNNNNNNNNNNNNNNNNNNNNNNNNNNNNNNNNNNNNNNNNNNNNNNNNNNNNNNNNNNNNNNNNNNNNNNNNNNNNNNNNNNNNNNNNNNNNNNNNNNNNNNNNNNNNNNNNNNNNNNNNNNNNNNNNNNNNNNNNNNNNNNNNNNNNNNNNNNNNNNNNNNNNNNNNNNNNNNNNNNNNNNNNNNNNNNNNNNNNNNNNNNNNNNNNNNNNNNNNNNNNNNNNNNNNNNNNNNNNNNNNNNNNNNNNNNNNNNNNNNNNNNNNNNNNNNNNNNNNNNNNNNNNNNNNNNNNNNNNNNNNNNNNNNNNNNNNNNNNNNNNNNNNNNNNNNNNNNNNNNNNNNNNNNNNNNNNNNNNNNNNNNNNNNNNNNNNNNNNNNNNNNNNNNNNNNNNNNNNNNNNNNNNNNNNNNNNNNNNNNNNNNNNNNNNNNNNNNNNNNNNNNNNNNNNNNNNNNNNNNNNNNNNNNNNNNNNNNNNNNNNNNNNNNNNNNNNNNNNNNNNNNNNNNNNNNNNNNNNNNNNNNNNNNNNNNNNNNNNNNNNNNNNNNNNNNNNNNNNNNNNNNNNNNNNNNNNNNNNNNNNNNNNNNNNNNNNNNNNNNNNNNNNNNNNNNNNNNNNNNNNNNNNNNNNNNNNNNNNNNNNNNNNNNNNNNNNNNNNNNNNNNNNNNNNNNNNNNNNNNNNNNNNNNNNNNNNNNNNNNNNNNNNNNNNNNNNNNNNNNNNNNNNNNNNNNNNNNNNNNNNNNNNNNNNNNNNNNNNNNNNNNNNNNNNNNNNNNNNNNNNNNNNNNNNNNNNNNNNNNNNNNNNNNNNNNNNNNNNNNNNNNNNNNNNNNNNNNNNNNNNNNNNNNNNNNNNNNNNNNNNNNNNNNNNNNNNNNNNNNNNNNNNNNNNNNNNNNNNNNNNNNNNNNNNNNNNNNNNNNNNNNNNNNNNNNNNNNNNNNNNNNNNNNNNNNNNNNNNNNNNNNNNNNNNNNNNNNNNNNNNNNNNNNNNNNNNNNNNNNNNNNNNNNNNNNNNNNNNNNNNNNNNNNNNNNNNNNNNNNNNNNNNNNNNNNNNNNNNNNNNNNNNNNNNNNNNNNNNNNNNNNNNNNNNNNNNNNNNNNNNNNNNNNNNNNNNNNNNNNNNNNNNNNNNNNNNNNNNNNNNNNNNNNNNNNNNNNNNNNNNNNNNNNNNNACCCAAAUACAGAAUAGUCUGGCUCAAAAGAGCGUCAGAUAAAGUGCAAGUAAAGUGUAUCCUUUGCAGCAAAUUUCAUCUACAGCAAGUAGAAGUGCAUUCACCCUCAAGUGUUCUUAUGAUGGGAUCAUAUUCUUGGCGCUACGUCUCGAAGUAGAGAGUAGGGAGUAACUAGACAUAGCAAUUCGCAAACCACCAGCCCGCAUGGCGAUAGCCCGAGAAGAGGAAGAAGGCAGAUGGAGAGAGCAGGCACGGCCAGAAGGACCACCAACCGAGGUAAUUUCCCCUCCAAAAGCGUAACCUGCAACCCACGACGCUAGCAUUCUCGCCGCACUCGGCAAAGUUACAUGAAAUAACGUAUUUUUAGUGACUUCUAAUAUACUUGUUCAAAAUCGUGUCAAAAUCACUCAAAAAUUGUUAAAUUAGUUUUCUACCGAUAUUAUUCCAUUAUUUCAUGCAGUUAUAGCUCAAAUUCCAUUUAUAUCUAAUAAAAAUCUAUAAUUGCAUUUAAUCAAUAAAAAAUAUCAAACGCAUCCGAAAAAUUUCCAAAUUUUGACAUGAACCAAUCUGUGUUGUAUGUUGCCUAUACAAAAAGAUUUGAAGGCACUUCUUAAUUCCAGUGUCACUUGGACACCAAAUCUUAUUGGCUCCUUUCUAACUUCUAUGAAUCCUUCCACGAGAUUAGUCGGUUUCUAAGCAUCAUGUGUCAGAAAUUGGGCGAAAUGUUCCCAAUUUUUUACCACAGCCUACACACAUAAUAUAAUGACAUCUUGACAAAUCUUGUGAUUUUCAGAUUUCGUUUGGUUUUUUUACAAUUUAACAACCAUUGAACCAUAGGUUCGUGGUCCUGUUUUUUAAAAACAAUCAUCAAAAUUUCUCUUCAUUUUCUGGUUGAGACCUCAAUCCGGUCUCCAUAAUAUGAAUAUGAUUUUUUCACUGAUUUCAAUCCAUUAUUUCAAGUACUUGCAGUUAAAAUUUGACUUCAAUCAAAAAAUUCCUAUUAAUGCAAACAAAGCAUUAAAAAUCCCAAACAGACCCGAAAAUAGACCAACUUUUAAUAUGUAUAACCAAAUGUCCUACGUGGGGAGUAGAAAAAGUGUGGAAGCUGUUGGAGGGAUUUUUUUUUUUUUGCCGAGUGCAUCUGGGACGGCACUCGGCAAUGUGUUGAGUUUGCCGAGUGUCCAGACGAGGCACUCGGCGAACUUUUGAGUGUGCCGAGUGUGUGCGGUUAGCACUCGGCGAACCACACUUUGCCGAGUGUCGAACGGCAAGCACUCGGCAAAGGUGUAACGGCCGGCCCAACCUGGUAACGGACGACGCACGUGCGACGCACGCGCUGUUGAUUUACCGAGUGUGUCUUUUUUGCCGAGUGUCCAGGAGUUGUUUGCCGAGUGCCUGUUUUUUGGCACUCGGCAAACCGCCUUUUUGCCGAGUGCAUUAUGUUCGCCGAGUGCCUCAUUGUGUACACUCGGCAAAGACGGUGUUUGCCGAGUGCCCGAAAAAUUGCACUCGGCACACGUUUUACACUCGGCGAAUUUACUGUUUCCGGUAGUGAAUAAAGCAAUUUGAUACUAGUAUCUUGGGAAUUCAGAGGUGAAUCAACUCUCGAUCAGGCACUAAUGAUACGACCACCAUCAACGCAGAUGACUUGGUCGGUGAUGUAGGAUGCCGCAGGGAACAACACGACGGACGCCACCUCCACCGCCUCACCGGUCCGCCGCAUCGGGAUCCGCAGCACCUCUUACUCCAAUACCCCCUCCGGUGCCUAUGUGCAGUGCUUACACGUAGAAAAAUCAUAGGUCGAACAGAUUACGAGCAAGUAAACUGAUGAUGACGACACAUUUUCACAGGUUUGUCUAAUUUUUAGGUAGCUCACGGGCAUAUUAAGUAAUCCCUCCGUCCUAAAUUACUAUUCGUUUUGGCUUUUCUAGAUGCAUAACUUUUGCUAUGUAUCUAAACAUAAUAUAUAUCUAGGUGCAUAACAAAAGCUAUGUACAUAGAAAAGUCAAAACGAAUAGUAACUUGCGACGGAGGAAGUACUUACUUUUUUUACCAUGUCAGUCAUGAUGAUGCCACUAUUGGAAAAAUGACCUCUCGUCACAUUUGGACCCGUUAGAUUUGGACCCGGUACUAAUGUUAGCAUUAGUAUCGUGUCCAAAUUAUGGAUCCCUGGAGGGCCUUUAGUAUCCGGGUGGAGCCCCCACCCGGUACUAAAAGUAACCCUUUAGUACCAGGUGGGUUCCUAUGGAUCAAUAAAAUUGCUUUUGUUGUAAUUAACCUAAGCAAAUAUGAAUCUGAAUGCAUUCCAGCAUGUUGUAACCAACUAACCAUGGAUGUUCUGCCCAUUGGAUUGACUUGGUAACAACUGAAUUAUAAAAAAAUUGUUAUUUAUAAGAAUAACAAAUAAAACACAGCAAUGCUUUCAUAACCUAGAGAUGGACCAGGCUUACUUGUUUUGCUUGACGUUCGUGCAAGAGAUCGUCAUUCACUGUCCAACUUAAGUUCUGCUGCCCCAGCUCAAGCUAAGAUGGGUCACAAACUUUGUUCAGGACACAUUGCAUUGCUAAAAUAGUAACUGCAUAUUCAAAACAAAGAAUCACCUGUGAUGUUCCAAACUUUCCAACUACAACACAACUACAUGACUGCUCCAGCUAAUUGUAAGAAAGAAACCUUCAAAAUUCAUAUAAACAGAAGAUUCAUUUGAGAACUGCAGUAGCAUGUGAGAAAGAAUCCUUGGUUAAACUUAAAACAGCAACAAAAAUAACAGGUAAGAAGAAAAACUUUGCAAAACGUUACAGUAUCACUGAGCCAUCUAAUGGACAACAUGCAAAUGAACUGCUCGUGCCCUGCCCUAGACAUUGAUUAUUUCACAAAGAGAUAUCCAAUCUAUGGAUUACAAUAUCACUGAGCAUCUUCUUGCCCCAGACGUGCCUCCGCUCGUCUAGGAAGGAAGGGCAUGAUUGCAGGCGAGACGCACGCGGGGAUCCAAUUUCUGCCAAGGUGAAGGAACGAGUGCACGGGAAUCAGGGAGGCCAAGGGUCCAGCAGGUAUGGAAGUGCGACGGUGAAAAAGAAAAUCGGCUAGGGAGACCAAUGGGGGACGACGAAAUCAAUCUCACCCACCAUUCGUCGUCUUCCACGGUUGUUUUCUGACUGAUAGGUGUGCCCUGUAUGAUGGGCAGGGGUUACAAUUGUGAGUGGGAAUUGUUUUCAAUUUCAUCGCUCUUUAUAGUAUAAAUAGAUGUGAAUAAUUUAGUAAUAAAAUGAUGGUUGUAUGUUUUUUUACUUUAGGAAUUAAAUUUCAAGGAUUUCUAUUUUUUAGUACGUCAUGUGAGUACUAGCAUUCCAAUCAAUUAGUAGUAGUAAGAUGAGACAAGACAACCCAAAUGUUAAUGUGUUUUCGCAUUUUUUAUUUUUAAUAUAGGUCGUACCUGGUCAUAAUUGAUGACAUUUGGUAUGGGAAAGAGUGGGAAAUCAUUCGAAAGGCUCUUCCCAAGAAUAGUGAGGGCUGUAAAAUAAUCAUGACAACCCUUAUCAAGACUACAGCUGAGAAAUGUCAAACUGAACAAGGUGCACAGAGUUUUGGUUUUUCUGACGCUAUAAGACUAUCAGACAUGAGACUUAACAAUAGUCGGCCGAGGGAGACAUACUUGAAGCCAGUGCAGCGAAUGGGCUGUUGUCCAUUAAGAUUGCACAUAUGAGCUUUGAGAUGCCGCUAGCAGGAAUUUGUUUGUCGUCAGCAUGGGCAGAGAGCCACGUGCAAGGUGACACUGGGGAAUGGGAUACUUUGGUAAGCCACCUGCUGGGUGGGUUUCUUAGUAUUCCAUCCAUGAAACCACUGGUCCAGAGUUUAUGCCUCUAUUCUGACGAUCUUCCCCUUCAUCUGAGGACUUGCUUGCUAUACUGUGGCGUAUUCCCUCCUGAUUAUCCUAUUCGAAUGGAGUGCUUGGUCAGAAUAUGGACUGCUGAAGGAUUGUUUCGCAAGAGGAAGUAGCAGAAGCUUACAUUGACCUGCUUGUCUCCAGGAAUCUGUUGCAGCCGGUAUAUGAAGAGAGCACAUACAGAGUCCACCUUCUAAUGCUCGGCUUCCUUGUAUGCAAAGCAAAGGAAGAUAAUUUUGUUGCCUGUAGGCAGUACAAUGGCCCCAGUGGCUCAUGGCAUGCCAAACAGAUCCGUCGUCUUUCUUCUCUACUGCAUGGAUCGCUGCCCAGAUGAGGAUUUAUCUCAUAAUCGCUCCCUUGUUGUUUGUCACCAGCCACAACUGGAUGGUGUGACCUUGGACAAGUUUGCAAAUCUGCGAGUGCUACAAAUCAAUAGUAAUGGUCUACGUGAUUAUAGUCAUCUCGUGGAUAUAUGUGGGCUGAUGAUCUUGCUGAGGUAUCUGGGUCUCAAGGGAUCACAAAGCUCCCACGGGAGAUCGGGAGACUGCAGUAUCUGGAGAUCCUGCACAUCAGAUGGACAUAUAUUGGUGAACUACCCAUGGAAAUCUGUAAACCGCAACAUUUGAGGAUUCUGGAUGCAUGUAAAGCAAAUGUCAGGAAACUACCUAGCGAAAUCUGGAAACUGCAACGUUUGGAGAUUCUGGAUGCAAGUCGCACACGUGUCACGGAGUUGCCUACCGAGGUCGACAAACUGCAGCAUUUGAGGACUCUGAAAAAUAAGUGGCACAAAGGUCACAGAGCUACCAACGAAAAUCACCAAACUUGAGCUUUUGAAGAGUCUGGAUGUAAGCUGGACAGGUGUGAGAGAAUUACACAAGGAAGUCUGGAAACUGCAGCAUUUGCGGUCUCUGAACAUAAGUAGCACAAAGGUCACAGAGCUACCAACGGAAAUCACCAAACUGGAGCUUUUGAAGGAUCUGGAUGUAAGCUGGACAGGGGUUAGAGAAUUACCCAAGGAAAUCAGGAAACUGCAGCAUUUCAGCACCCUGGACGUAAGAGGCACCAAGGUCAGGGAGCUACACUGGGAAAUUCCAAACUCGUUAAGUGUGCUUGUUGGUGACAAGAUAUCUUCUGAAGUGGUGAUGUUGCCUCAGGCUGUCAGCGCAGAUUGGGUUAUCUCCUCUUCUGGAGCAGAGCGCAGGGAUGACCUAUCCAUCUUUGUUCUCAUGAGUAAUUCCGGCUGGAGUAAUGAACCUCUACAACUUUCGCUACUUAGAGUUGACGGGAGACACAAGAAAGUACCGCAGUGGGUCAAGCAAGACUUGUGCAAAGUCUGCACCUUAGAUAUCAGGCUCUGCAAACUGGUGCACGAAGACCUCCAGUUUCUGAAGACGCAGAUGCAUGCCCAACCGGCAGGCUCUCCAACUAAGGUUCGAGGUCCUCCCACGGGAGCCGGUUGCCAUCACUGGUGAAGGGUUCUUGAAGCUAGAGACGUUCUACGUCGAUUGUCGUCUGCCACGGGUGAUCACCUUCAAGCGUGAAGCCAUGCCAAAGCUGAAGCAUCUUGAGUUCAAGUUCUACACCGGCACAGCAAGUCAAGACCACUACAUGGGCAUCGAGCAUCUCGACAGUCUUGAGAAGGUCGUGUUCCGAUGCUCCGAAUACUAUACAAGUGACGGUCCGGGCAUCCGCGAGACAAUUGAUGUCCUGAGAAAAGAAGCCGUGGAGCACCCCAACAAGAUCACCCUUUGGGUCAAUGAGCAUUCCGUGUGAUCCAGUUUAGCUAGUGAUUCCAACAUUUCCUUUGGGUCAAUGUAGCCAUGACUCAUGCCAGUGAUCCAGUUCUGUUAAUAAUUUGCUCCCGUACGUAUUCUGGAGCAAUUGCAAGAUUGUCUUGAUGAUGCGAAUGGGCUCAUCCAUGUGCCUUAAUGUGGUUGUAUGCAGACUUUUAUGUCAUCUUCUUCUAGGAUAUGUAAGCUUUGGUCAACAUCGUCAAACCCCUGUUGGAGCCGCGGCUAAACUGCCCACAUGACAGCACACUUUGCCUUGAUGACAACAGCUUCCAACAUGGUGGAUCAGAUUCAAAACAGCUUCGAGAAUUGGGUGGAGCUCCUCGUCUAGACUGUCUCGGCCUGUUUGGCUCAUGAAUUGUUAAAUGACUGGCCGGGGGGCUUUCUGAGCUCACCAAGCUUCUGUGGGUGUGGUAAUAUAAUUUCACUACAAAAAGAGGGGGAAAAAAGAGUAAGGGAACCAGUACUGCUAGAGCAGUGGGCUUUUUGAGCUCAGUUGGUCAAAAUUUGGGCUGCACCUAGACAACUGUCAUUCUUGGCCCAUGAAGAAGGGUCCACACACACCACAGGUGGACCAAAGAUAAAUUGGGCCGAUACACCAGCCACUGUCACACCAGCCACCACUGUCAUUCAUUUUGUAUUCGGUCAAAUAUAUUUCUAACGUCACGCCAGCCACCGAUUUUGUAAACUUAAUAAAUCCCUGUAAAGUCGCCUUUGUACAAUAUUUUAGUGCAUUAUGCGUUUAGUUUGAAACACAAUAUUUUCUUCUUAGAUAAAUAAACCAGCGCAAACUAGUUCUCAAUUAGAGAACACUGCGUAUGCCCGAAGAAAAAUGUUUUCAGUACUAAGAACUUAGAUUAUGUAUUUUUUAAGCUCUAGAAUUCAGACCUUAUUUUUUUGUGGUCUAUUGACUGUUGAAUGUUCUUGCAUGGAGUCAUAUGUUCCUUAAUAGUCAUUGGUAAAACAUGUCAUGAAUGUUGCACAUUCAAGAUGUAGAUGCUGGGACAGUGUUUUAUUCCAUCAUCAAAAAAAAAUCUUGGAGCUCUAGAAAUGGACACAAUCUAAUUUAUGUAUCUGUAGUGCAUAUACAGUUGUAAAUGAUGAAACCUGUUUAUUGUAUACUCCGUAACAUACGGGGAACAUGAAUAUAUUUGAGUCGCUCAGCGCGGCUCGGCGAGCAAGCGCGCGUGUGGCACCCUUUCUCUCUUCCUCAACUUCUCAAUUAGUGCACACAUAGUCCACCUAUUUAACUCCUUAACUACCCACGUGGGAUUAACUACUUUAACCACCUAGCAUUAAAGGUGAGCCUUGAGAUUAAAUGGGCCUAGCCCAAAUAUUCCAAUACUGUGUUGAUCUCAGCACUAACCUAAUAACUCUGAAAAUGUUGUGCUGAGCCUAGACGAGCUGACCCAAUUAAAGCUAGCAUGGUUGAGGCAAACUCAAUUGAGACAGUUUUUCUCCGAAACUCCCAAGAAGAAAUGUUUCACAGAGAAAAAUUAAUGUUCCAUGGACAAGGAAAAAACUGAGUACUCAAUCACAUUUAUUUAUUUCAUGGAAGUAGUUAUUUUGAGCUCUAAAGAUCUUGUGUCUAUGCUCUUGGACGUAGUAUGUCUUGACAAUACACUUAUCCGCAGUGCAGAUACAGUUGUAAUAACAAACGAUGGAAGCUCCUUAUUCGAUAUGCUUCUUGUGGCAUUUGCAUGGGUCAUGCAGUAGUAACCCUACAAUACUUUAUUGGGCCUCUAGCAAUGCAUCAUGCAUUGCUAAAGGAGUAUUCGUCGUGUAUUUAGGAGAUUUUUGGGCUGUAAAGUAAUUCAAGGAUUACUAUGGGCAGUUAGGAUUCCUCCCAGGUCCUCCAUAAAAGAUGUAUGUGCCCCAGUCGUUGCUACUGGUGCCACUCUGCACGUCAUAGCAGCUGGGCGACGUACUACUUAUUAUGAAGCCCAAACCACUUGCUUGUAUGAGAUAGUUGGAUGAAUCUACCACUUGGAUGUUCCUGAUGUAGCUGGCCUUGCCAAACCCUUCCCCAGCGAAGUGUCCACUGCCCAUGUCUGUCGAAGUUUGACCGGCGCUAGACGAGCAUACCUCGCCACCCCACUGAACAUUGGAGGCACUGUUUUCCAAGUGGGUGAAGAUGGAUGAUGGCCAAUAGCCCACAUUAGUGCCUCCUACUUGCAACCACCAGUUGCCCGUGUUUGGGUCCUGCAAGCAAAAUUUACAGGACAAUUCAUCAGGAGACCUGAUUAUGAUUGUGAUAUAGCAAUUGGGCCAGAUUUGCAACACUAGGUCCUUGUAGAAUACUAAGAUAAAGAUUCCUUUGAAGCUUUGCUGAAAAGGCUAACUUGACAGUGUUGCAUUUAUGGAGAAAUCUCUAGCACAAUAGGGACAACUAGUAUUAAAAUGGUGAGCAUUCGUGAACUUUAUUUUAUGUUCGGAAUGUGAACAUUCUUUGUGUUUUACCUUCCAAACUAGAAUACAUAUUUCGUAUUGUGAGCCACCAUAGACGGACUGAGGGGAGAUGGUACCACCGACAGCAAUCUGAUUGUUUGUCUGGACGAAUCCUGAGCACCCUAGAUUGUAGCAUCCUGUUGUUCGAUACGCAUCACGCUACAAUAUAUUGCAUAGUAAUAGAAAUUAGUACCUUUAUGUCCCAACUUAAUAUAAAAUUAAAGGUCAAUAUUACUAAUGAAGAUAAAUGAAUGCGAGAUUUAUCUUACAGUCCAGUAGAUGAAGAGUCUAGGAUUGUUAUCCCCAUAGAAAUUUUGGUAAACCUGAAAUAUUAAAGAGAGCACAAAUCCAUCAGCCACAAUGUUAGAGAAUGCACAACUUAGUGCAACAACCAGUGAACUCAUAUGGAAGUGUGUUUAGUUUUUCCCUUAGAAGUCUCACCUGCCAUCCUACUUCAAUGGUAUUGAGAUCGUUGUUGGCAUAGGACCCUGCAGCGGUCCAGAGUUGGGUCAAGCUGAAGUCUUCCGUCUCGGUCAUUGGUUUCCACAGAUUUAUAUUGAUUUGAGUUCCAUAGUAUUGGCCAUCUGCUAAAGAUGCUACAGCAUACUGCUCGAUGGGAGAAAAAAAAAGUUAAAGCAGUAAUAUCAAAAAAAAACAUCCAAGUGGAAGAUUAGUUAGUAAUAAAAUGAAGGUGAUUUUUGAAUGAUGUUUUGUACCUCAUGGCCACUCGUCACACUAGCUUCAGGGUGGAUAUUUGGUAUGCUGUCGGGCCUCUUCUUUCCAUACAAAUUGACCGAGCUGGCCCUCAGGACAUCCUCCUCCUUUGUCCUUCGGAUUGGUACAGUGUUCUCAGGGCACUUGCCAUUCUGGUGCCAUGUUUGGGUGAUUGGAUGAGGUGCAAUGUUGGAGUCACCAUACUGACCUCUAGGAUGGUAAGAAGGCUGCAUCUGAAAGGUGAUGGUGUGGAGCAUCAUUAUACAUGUGAUUGUGCGGUGGGAUGUGUACGUCCACGCAACAGUGAAAUGAAAAGGGCAAUAUUGCUGCACAAACCUGUAUGGUAUGGUUCUUCAGGAGAGGAUGAUCGAAUGCAGGCUGUUUGGAUAUGGGCACACAGUCUAUGAUAUCUCCAUCUGGGCUCUGUUAAUUUCUCAGAAUCAGUAGUUGAAAAAAUGCGAUUAUGUUUCGCAACUGUGUGCAAUUUCAAUUGGCCAUGCCCUUUUGUUAUUAUAAUAAGUCCAUAAAGCCGAGCAUAUGUGCAUAGCUCUGGAUUUGAGAAGAGACAUACUCCCUCUAGUAUUUUUAGACGUCACAUUAGGUUUGUCCUAAGUCAAACUUCUCUAACUUUGAUCAAGCUUAUCUAUACUACCAAAUAUAUACACUAUAAAAUAUAUUCCAUGGCGAGUUCAAUGAAACAAAUUUGAUAUCGUAGAUGUUGUCCGUGUUCGUCUUGAUCUCAUUUGGUCUAUAUAUUUCACAAACUUAUCUUUCUGACCAAAUCAUAUUCGUAUUUUUGAUAACAAAAGCCGCAGCCCAUCCAUGUAAACUUGGGCGUAAAUGAUGGCAAUCUGCAAGCGGUGCUUUGGCCUCUACCAACAAGGCUCCACCUUUAGCUUCUGUCUUAGGCAUAAAUUUGAUGUGACAAUCGAUUAAAUGUAUUACUUGCAUGCACUCUCUCUUAGAAAUACUGUCAAUGGAAGCAAGGAUCAUCAAUACAGAAAAACACAUCCUUGUUAGCUAGCUCGUAUUAGGAGCCGGCAAAGGUAAGGCCCUAGGUAUUAUCCAUUGGUACCGAUAUCUCGGAGACUUUACAUGUUGCCUCUUAUUAAUUACGAGCCGUCACACAUUGUUCUUAUCCACUAACAAGCAUGAAUGCUUUUCCUGUGCAAGUAAUUUGAAUUUCAGUUUCUUUCAAGCAUUUAGAACUUACCCGGACGGAGACAAACUUUAUAUGAAAAUUGUAGGUUUGAAAUUUUUUGUUUGAAGUCGUGAGAUGCAUAAAUAAUUGACAAAUGUUUCAGACAACAAGAGUCCUAAGGAAAAAAAAAAUCUACCUGAUGCAUCAACAACGAAGCAUAACUGAGAUCAUAAGAAGGGAUUUAUCUAUACGAGGGGUGGGGUAAUCAUCAUGUGGGUAAGUCUGGGGUCUUUUUCUUUUCUCUCUCUAUUGUUUCAUCAAAUUUUGGUCCGGCUAUCCGCCACUGAACAGCACCGAUGACUUGCAUAUCUGCUGGCUGUGCAGCCGGCCGGCAUAGACACUCGCUGUAUCCAUGUCAGUUUUCAUACUUCUCAUUUGCGUAACCGACACGUACGAGAGUUUCUGCAGUAGUGGUUUCUGCGUGUAUGUACAUUCUUCGCAUUACGAAUUUAAGAUGCCAAUACCUGAAUGCUCGUGACAGGAGCCUUGUUGACCCGCCUGAGGAAGCUUCGCACCUGCCUCAGGUGCUCUUCCGACGAUCCUCCGGCAGCCCCCAACGCCGCUGCCAUUGUUGGCCCCUCCAAGAGGAGAAACGCGAGAGCCACGGCGAGCGCGACCAAGCACGCUCGCGUCGCUGCCAUGAGCGUGUAUUUGCAACACGUUAUAAGUACAAAGAUCAGAGAGCUAGCUGCUAGUUGUUUCUCCUCUGAUAUGAUCUUGCAGCUGUGGAGGCGGAAGUGUCCUGCAGGCUCGGCUUUUAAAGGGCUGGAGACCAGUGGAGACGGCUUUUAAAGGGCUGGAGACCAGUGGAGACGUCUCGGUCGGCCUGGCUGCUGCCAACGUGCUUGGAGAGGUACCAGCACCGCACUUGUGGAUUCGUCGGAUAGGAGACGUCGUAGUAGUAGGAGACGUGCAGCCGUUGCACUCCUGCUUCUAUUGUCCCGGCAAGUUGCAACAUAUUGGGUUAGUGCCUGCCCAACAAUGUUUAUGCGCAAAUUUUUGUUUUCUUUUCCAAAAUGAAUAUAAAGAUUUUUUUUGUAUUUCCAAUCAAAAUGUUUUAAAAUGCAGUUAAACCAAAAGUUUAAAAGGCUUAUCGCCGGAUGUAGAUAUGUGUACGUGUACGUACACAUUUCCAAAAUACGUGUGUAUAGUAUUGACAGCAUCACUGGUGAUGAUGGGAGUUCCAAAGGGACAGAUAAUGAGCUAGCUUCUGAUGAUAAACUGCCACACCUCGGACAGACAGGGCCAUUGCCAUAUCCGAUAUUAGCAUCAAAGCGUGAGACUCCGGCUGGUAUGCCUAAAACAUUACUAUGAUUCUACAUGAACUACUUCUAUUUAUUUCCCAAAAAGAAUCUAAACAAUUCUAGAUUGUUAGAGAUAUAAAAUAAUUAACCAAAGUUUAAAAGCUUCAAGACACAUGGUAUGUACGUAUUUCCAAAAUAUCUAGCAUUGACGCGGGAGAUACGUAUUUCCAACAGUAUUCUUGCGAGGUCCAAGUCCUCGAGGGAAGCGCAGAGAUUUUCCAUGUUCGAAAACGGCAUGAAGUUGCUGGUAUACGUGUUAUAUGAAUGUAAAAUUACAGGUCGGCAUGAAGUAUACUGCAUGAGUUCGUUGUGGUGCAGUCGUCAAGGAAAUGCGAAAUAGAGAAGGAAACCAAAAGAGAUCAUGUUGAGCCUAAAUUGAGCUGAACCUACUGCAUGUAUAAUGUAAAAGGCAAAAGAAACUAGAGAGAAGAGUACAAGGCUCAAUUGGGCCUAAUUCUCUCAUAGGCCCUAUGCGCCCCAUGAGAAACAAUUAGUUUUUUUAUUUAAGGGAAAAAAUAGUUUUUUUAAGCGAAAAAAAGUUAAAAGGUAGCUGACAUUUUUCAUUAGUUUAUAGAAAAAAAAGUGUAUUUUUCAUUCCUAAAGUAUAGUGUAACUUUUACCCUUACAUUUCAAUUGGUGUGAAAUAACCCCUUAACCUAUUAAACAAGUGAACUAAUCAUCUCUGACUUAACAAUGGUUUAGUGAUAUCUAAUUGUGGUUCAGACCACAUUGCUUAGCAUCAUUACACUACCGGACGAUUGACAUUUAGUACAGGUGGGGAAACCGCUUUAGUACCUGUUUCCUAACCGGUACCGCUACGUCGGUACUACAAGUGGGAUGUUUAGUAAUGGGUGAUCCACCCGGUACUAAAAUGCUAUAUUUAUUUGGUACCGGUUAGUAACUCCAACCGGUACUAAAUUUGCUGCCAUGUUGUGUGUUGGCGAGGGCAGAUUAGUACCGGUGGGCUUACCAACAGGUACUAAACUGCAAUUUUUUCUUUUCUAUUUGUUUGUUUUCCUUUUGUUUUCUUUUAUAUUUGUAGUCGUAUUCCUUUACGUAUACUAGUGCUAUACAUUAAUAUAUAUGGUUCUAGCAUAUUAAAUAUUAUAUAUCGUAUAUACGUAUUCGAUGGUUGGUGGCUGGGUGCCAACUCUUUGGUACACCAUCCAUCUCGUAGGACGACCUAAAAGAAAAAUCUUGUUACCCAUACCAUUUUCUUCCAUGAUUGAGGAGGAGAUCGAUGAUGACCAUAAGCUCACCGGAUGUGUGAUGCAAGACAGUUUUCAAUGAUUGCUAGAAUUAUGUAGAGUAUUUCUCUUGAUUAUUGGACUAACUAGUGAAUCAUCAUAAGUUGUACCUAAUUGUUAUUAAAUUGUGAAGUAAUGGUUUCAAAUUGUUGAUAGGUUUCAUAGAUGAAGACCAGCAGAUACUGAUGCCAGAUUGCAAAAGUGAAUUGAAUUAGGUUUGAAAAAUUAUUUAACCUUGACUAGGAAUUGUUCCAGUCUUUAUAAACUGUUAAAUUCGGUUUCAAAAUUAUUAUCUUUUUAGAUGCACGUAGUCAUUUCAUCUUCAUAAAGAUGUGUGCUCCAGGCUUUCAACCUUAUUAUAGGUGUAGUGAUGCACCCACAACUCCACUAUGACAGAGCAAAGCAAAUGUGCUUUCACUCCUACUCUCAAGAAUUGUUGAUGGGAUGUUCAGUUCAUUCAUUAGAAAGGGGCUCCCAUUUCUCCUUUUUCUUUCUAAAUGACCAGGCAAAAGAUCUUUCAAGCUCUUUUAGUACUUAAUACAAGAUAGAUUAGGUGUUCUCACGGUGUGAUCAGCUGUACUGCUCGUACAAUUCGAAGAAAUCAUUGUGCAACUUGCACAAAGCAACUUCUAGUGGGGAUCCAUGGUAACUUAUUGCUGACCUCUUGUCACGGAUAUAAUACUUUAAUUACCACCGAGGGUUUUUAGAUUUCUUUCUUGGAACAACGUCAUAUAGUAAGUAAAUAUAUUAUCAUUAAUUAUCUACACAAAGUAUAGAUUGCCGCGUGCAUAAAGGGUACGCGUGGUAUUUCCUUUGGAAAGCUUCGCUUGACAUGCCUAGUUCACAUGAUACUGUUGCUAGCCUAGUUAAUAUAUAGUCUUUGCAACGCAUAAAAUGCACAUGCGCAUUAUGACGUGCAUAAAAUGGUUACGAAUCUCUAGCAUGCAACAUUCAACAUUAAAUGCACGUGCGCCAUUAUGCACUUAUACGAGAACUCACAAAAUACACGAUCACUAGUAGAGAAUUGGCUUUUAGUCCCGGUUGGUAGGGUGCAAAUCUCCCGAAAGUCACAAGUCACGUGAUUUUUCACGCGAAAUAUGCGCGUGCACGCUGCGUGGGAUUCGAACCAACAACCUCUUGCCUCACGCGUAGCUUCCUUGCCAUCCCACCUACACACCACAUCUGACUAUAUAGGGGAUGCUAUUCUUUUGUAUUAACUCGUGGGGGAUCCUUUUAUCCCGGUUGGAAACACCAACCGGGAUAAAAGACCCCCUUUUAUCCCGGUUGGUAUUACAAACCGGAAUAAAAGGGUUCGAGGGAUUUAGUCCCUUUCCAGUCACCUCGUUGGGGACCCUUUUAUCCCGGUUUGAAAUACCAACCGGGAUAAAAGGCCUCUCAGGGUCUUUUUUUCCCACUAGCCUUUGCAACCGGGAUAAAAGGUCCCGGUUGAUGAGCCCCCACCAGUGACCGAGCUUUAGUUCUGGUUGGUGAACCUUUUAUCCCGGGCCAACUUUAAACCGGGACAAAAGGGGCGCAUCGAAAGCCAAUUCUCUACUAGUGAAUAUGCUUUUGUCUAGGGCCGUAGAAUAAUUGAGAACACAUGCAUGCAUCAUACUUAGCUAAUAUAUAUAAUCAUCCAUUAUCUUAGGUGGCCUGCUGACCUAGAACAACCCAAGGUGCGCUUGCCCUGAUAUGGUCCCUUCCGGGUAAGCGUUCGUUAGUUCUUUGCUCAGCUCACCGGCGAAACCGGUCUGACCGGUCAGCCAUACCGGUCUGACCAGCCUAUGCAGAGGAGCUACAAGAAGCCCCUCCACGCUGCACGUUGGAGUGCAAGACUAAUUGGCACGGCACGUUUUUGCGCCAACAGAAGUUCUGUAAUAUCAGUAUUCCUGAGGCUCAAAUACCUCAGCAACAACAUCUUGCAGAUACUCUUGAGAUGAUGCUUCUUCAAACCUCUGCAGUUUUCUAGGUCCAGCGCUUUCAGCAGAUGCCGUUGUGACGAUGUAGCCAAGGUUGGAAGAAAAGGCACAAUGUCAUUGCUGUUUACAUCAAAAUGAGAAGUCUGCAGUCCUAUUCUGUUGUGAAUGGAAAGAUGGUGAGCCAGUUGUGGUGGCAGGUUUGUGUGCAAAAAGUUUACUUCUCUAGCAGUCUAGCAAUCCGUGCGAUGAACUGAUGAUCUUGGUCAUGCACCUUGCAGCUCUUGAUGUUGCCCGCUGCACUGACUUCCUCCUGAGAAAGGAACCCUCGCAUGACCAGCACAUCCAACAAGUAGUGCUGGGCUUCAUCCGUCGCGGCAGCCCAACGUUUGGUUCUUCUGCCUGCUGCAGUCUCUGCGUCAUCUCUUGUGAUUAUAAAGCCUUCAGCAACCCAUCUUCUGGCUAAGCUUGCAGUCCUGAUGAUGUGGCCAUUGGGGAAUAUAUUCAGAUACAACAAGCAGUUGUUGUACUUGGUAGGUAAUUCAUUGUAGCAGAAUCCUAACAUCUGCUUCGCAAACCUUUUGUUCGGUCGCCUACACUCUGAAAUGGCAUUGCAACAGUUAAGAAAAUGGGCCGACCAGUCCGCGGCCCAACAAAAAGAACGAAAACAGCAGGGCCCAUACGAAACAGCUGAACCACACGAGGUGGUAGGAGGAGCUAGCGAUCUGCGACGUCGACCCAGAUGGGGUCACGGGUGCCGACGCGUCGAUGUACGGCUGGCACCGGGGUACUCAACAGUCGACAAUUGUCACACGACGGGCAGCCGUUACAAUCAGGUAUGUAGCAGUGCCUUGGCUUUGGUAAAAGGGGUAGCAGUUCUGUCAUGCUAGCACUCAGCGUGUGGAUUAUGCUUGGAAACAUGCAGUCCAAUAUGCCUCUUAAUUUCGUCUCUCACUUGAUCUGGGUCGCAGUCACCUUUGAGCUCCAACUCCCUCGACUCAGAGAGGUGACCAGCUCCAGCAAGGUUAGGAAAAGGCAAAACAAUCCUAUCAAGCUAAUGAUGUUGGUGGCAUCAACAUUAUUAUCAAGCUAAUAAUGUUCCAUGCAAUCAGCUCAGCUAUCCACUUUUCUUUCACUAAUCAUUCAGUAGUAUACAGAGCACACACUGGGCAACAGCGAAAAAUCAAAUAAGUAUACUACUACAAAUCCGGGCAUCACUGAACACUCUACUAAUAAGUAGUACAUUACACAGUAGCGUUCUGAUAAAUACACACAUAUCAAAUUCCGCACCUUACCAUAUAUAGCGAUAGCAUUCAGGCACAAACAGACGCACAAAUGAAAACGAGUUCCAGAUUCAGAUAGUACAGAGUUACACCCAACAGCAUAAAUGCACAAGGAAGACGUCGUGGUUGCACCCGCAGACGAUCACUGCCUUGGAAUCGCCUGCGCGGCUGAGGAACUCGAUGGCGCGGCUGCUGGAACAACCUCCGUGCGUGGACCACCAAUCCUAACAACAACCUCCUCCAUGGAGAGCCGCCGUGCCGGCUCACGAAGACAGCAUAUCAGCCCGACAAGCACGCACCUUAAUGCCAGAACCCGGUUUGAAUCGUCAGCUACCAAUUGUUGAUCAAAUAGAUCCCUUUUCUCAAGCCUCUUAGCCUGCAAGCGACCGAGCCAGCGAAAAAUAAAGAAACGAUUAUAUAUAAGGUCAGUUGUGUAAAAAUGUGAGCCUCAGGAACCACAGUGUUGGUGUUGCCAGCUUACCCACUGUUCGCGGAUUUCUUUGGAAGGAGGGCCGCGGCAUUUUUUCCACACCACGCUCAUGGUCUCAAGGAGGAUGAUGCCAAAGGAGUACACAUCGCACUUGGUUGGCUCCAUAAUUUUGGGGGCCCAAGCAAGUGACAAUGUCUCACACAUACCUCCAUCAAGCGAUAGUUCCGGAGCAACAUAUGUCCUGAGUUAAAAAAAUAAAAUUGAAACAAUGAGAAUUAGUAACCCCGUCGGGCGUGGUACAGGAAUGAAGAGAGGAGGAAAACUAGCAUUUGUUUCCAAGGUGCAUGAUCCCUCUAGUAAGCUUCAACUUUGUUUGAAAGGUCCUCCAUAAUAUCAUAUACAGAUGUAAGUAAUCUAGAUGCAUAUUUAGGGGUUACUUUAGGUUAUUUUUAACUGUAGCAAAUGUGAGUAAUUUGUUAGAUGCAAAUUUUGGGAGUUCCUUUAUAUUAUUUCCUAUAAUGAUAUUUUCCGGUAAUAUAGACGUAGAUUAACAGGUUACUCUAUAUUAUUUUUCAUAAUGGUAGAGGUGUAAUUUGGAUAUAGGUUUAGAGGGUUACUUUAGAUAAUCUUACUAGAGGCUCCUUUUGAAGUCUUCACGUGAAACUACGUAGGAUCCUAGGUGGACACUUUAGAAAAAGAGAGAAAUCCUAUAAAUUUUAUUAAAAAAAGCAAAACAUCUAGCCAUCGAUUUGGUAUAUUGUAGUCAUCAGUGAUAAUAAUAGCCAUCGGAUCUCUGUUUCUAAAAAUUUACUCUCCUAUACCAUUAUAAAGGAUUAGCCUAAAAUAAUCCCCUAUAUCUAUAUAUCUAAAUUACCCACCUUUGCCACUAGCAAAAAAAUUACAGUGUUUAUACCCUACAAUGAUUCGACGUUGACUGGCAUAGGAUAGGCAGCUGCGGUUGAGAUUACAAAAUAGAGUGUGCAAUAGUGGCAACCAGAAGGUAUAUGCGCUGGCCAGUUGAGUUCUCUUGAUUUUAGGAGCAUCUUGAGUUGAUGACAUGUAGGAUUAGCGGUACGUACAUUCAGCAGCCGCUGCAAAUUGAAGAUCCUACUGCAUCUCUGUAUGUAUGGACUCUCUACUCCUUCCAGCUCCUUUCCAUUCACGUUUUUUAAUUAACGUAAAUUGCAUGGGAGCCGGCGAUACUGUACAAAUAUUUCAGCUUCAGCGUGAUUGAGGUGGUUUAAGAGGCUCAUUGCAUGUAUUCAUCUACAAGGCAAACUCCCUCCAUCUCAAAAACAUCAAUUUUUAAUAACUACUUCAAUAUUAGUGCUAGAGGAAAUUUAUCCUGUCACCCCUGAUUAGUGAUGUGAUUUUGUUUUGUUUGCUCAGAUAAUUAAGAGGAUAUAUUUUGUUCACCAUCCAUGCCCACACGGAUUAUCAAGAUUGGUAGAUGAUGAGAAGGACGUACGUAGGAGAGGAAUAGAAUUAAUGUAGAGGGAUCUACAAGUCAAUAAGUCAGAAUGACAAGUUUUCUAAGACAAAAUUUAAAUCCUAGACGUGUUUUUGGGACGGAGGAAGUAGGAGUGUCUGUGAAGUCGGACGCUGUAAUUAAGGUCGUAGUUUAGCGUAAUGUAAUUUAUUACUAUCAGGCCUAUCUAUUUUACUGCUCCAGAGUUAAUAAUGCUCCUAUGUACAUGAUCAAAUAUAGAUACUUGAAUAACUAUGUGAUGCAUAGCUCGGUAUAGGCUAGGUUAAAUUAAUUACUUAAGCACUAAUAGUAUUUUUUUCUUCUGAGAACACAUGCGGAUGUGAAAUCAAAAUGGGAUAAAAGGGAGGUAACAAAGAUAGAUGAUUGCCUGAUUGGCAAGUAGAAUAGGGAUCUGCCAAAGAUAAAUGUAUAGAUCGCUGAAAACAUCAUUAUGUUAAUGAGUUAAGAGAAAACGGAGAAAUGAGUAUCUAGGAAGAGGGUAAUAGAAAUAUAGGAGUUGAUGGAGCAUUUUGUAAUUAGAAAUGAACUUUAACUUAUGAACUGCCAAGUGGGAUAUGUACUAACUGCAUGCGAAAGGAUCUAUAUGCUAUAUAAAUACACAUAGAAAGCUUAAGGCUUAUGUCACAUAUUUAGGACAUGUCUAAUCCCAUACACCAUAUGUUUAUUUCAACAUAUGUACCCAAAUAGUAUACAAGGUAUGCUUCCAAUAUUUCAUAUACCUUUUUUUAUACAUAAGCAGAGUGCAGUUUUUUAUUUGAGGAAUUGGAACUGCAGUUCAUGUGAAAGGAAUUUGUUUUCACAUAAAAGUGCUUCUACAUAUAGAGAUCACAUGGAAUCAUUUGGGUGGUUCACUUACAUUAAACAAAUGGUAGAAUCAUAGUUGUAUAAAUGAACAUACGUGAAGUGGAUUCCUUUAAUACAAUGUCUUGAAUACAAGACAAAUAAUUUAAAAAUUCCUAGUAUCUCCCUUCACAAAUCUAAGCAAUUAUGUGAUUUUAAGGAAAGUUUAGGCCAGCUAGAAAAAGAUGUAUAUAACCCUCAUUAAAGUCCGGUGGACAUGUCUUGAUCAGCGCAAGCCACUUGAUUAAAUGACAGGUUUUAUAGGCAAUUUGUAAGAUUUUUUUAGGGAAUUAAUGUGCCUUAUAUGUAUUGAUAAAUUUGAAGGCUCCAAUCUAUUGUAUUUGCAGAUGGAGGGAAUAAUCAAUUAAUCAUUGAUUUUAAAAUUAUAACCCGUGCAGGUGCACGGGUUGAUGGACUAGUUUUCAUAAUGGGCACAGGCAAUCUUUUUUAGAAAAACAUAAUAGAUGGAAUGGCAGAAUGUUUCUGAUUUUUAUGAGAAUUUAUUGGAUUUUUUCUAUUUUCUAAUGUGUCUUGUAAGAAUUAGUGUAGACCCUCCAAUAGUAAUAGUAAAAUAGCAUCUUACCCUUUGGCUGUGUCGAAACAAAAGGGAGGUUCCUUCAGUAAUAUUAAUUCAGCUUUAUUAAAUUUGUUGAUCUUAGGAGUCCAGCCCUUGCCCAACAGGAUGUCUUUUGGCUGCAGAUCCAUAUGGACAACACGUUUCAUAUGCAGGUAACAUAUGCCCUUGGCUAUUCCUUGAAUUAUCCCGAAAAGAUUGGGCCAAUCAACAUGUUCAUCCCCUACACAAUACAAAUCGUACAAGUGGAACAAAACUCCUAGUUAGAAGCUGGAUAAGAGAAAUCUGGUGGACAAUGGAAUUGUGAUCAAGAUGGAUUUUAGUGGAAAUGUACCUUUGAUAACCUUGUCCAAGCUUUGGUUGGAAAUGUAUCCGCUGACAAAAGCUAGAUGUUGUCUUAUUUGAAAAUCAAAAUCACUAUCUGUCUGCACCAGAAUCUCUCUGUUUUGGUAGCAAUGUCCCAAAUGUUCAACUAUGUUCCCGUGCUGGAGCUUUGAAAUGAUAUUGAGUUCUUUAAUAAAGCGUUUCUUGUUGCUAUCAUUGAACUCCUUAAAUUUCUUGAUGGCAACUGCUUUGUUGUUGUGUAAUACAUCCUGAUAUGUAAGUAUUGAAAACAAAUUAGACUAAAUAGUAAGUAUAAUGAAGAGCAAGUUCAAUUAUGCAAUCAUUUCUCAAAAAAUAGAAACAAAUCAAAGAUUUUAUCAUGUGGUAUUGGAUCAAGCUAAAUAAAAAUACGUGAAGGGCAAUCCAACAUGGUCUUUCAUGCUGUCCGUCUUUUCCUACAAAUUUGAGUUGAUAUGUAUGAAUGUAUGUCAAGGUUAAGUCAAUGUGUCUAUAUUCGUAUUACAAAAUGGCGCACCAAUCUCUAAUUCAUGCAUGCCUCUGAAUAGGGUUGUUCGAAGUAAACAUUUCCUAAAAAUGAUUGUGAUGUUCAACCAAGAUUUAAGGAUGCAAUGACUUUGGUUAUACAGUUUGGAAAGCUAGAUUAUUUUGUGGCAAUGACCUGCAGGGAUGAAAUAAUAAGGACUGAUUUGUUGCAUGGACAGACACCGCAAGACCAUCCUAAUUAUACUAUUGUGGUAUUGAGAAAUUUUAGAAUGAUUGGAAAAAUGAGAGCCAUCCAUCCUGUAAAAGGGCUCGUAUUAAGAAAGGAAAAUUAAGUACAUGUUAUCGAAGAGUGCAAAAAUAAUAUAAUAUAGAGCUCUUUUAGAGUGGUUUAAAAGUACCCAUCGGCACUUGUUUGUACUUCAAUAAAUAUAAUAGGUAGCUCUCGUACCGAUUCGCUGAAGUGAGUGAGGAACUAACUCAUGGUGUGGGCAUGUGGGUAUGAAUCCAUGCAGAAGUAUUGAAACUUGGUUGCACACUAUUUACAUACAUGCAAGUGCUAUUAGUGGUAAAAAAAAUUUGAAGGCAAGGCGGGCAUGUUGAUUUUUGUAUGAUUAAUCUUGAAAAGUAUAUGCCUUUCUAAAACCUAAUUAUUAGUGCAAGGAUAGUGUUCAAUUGUUGUAUAUUGAGCAAAUUGUUAAUUAGGCUCUCUCUCUCACACACACAUAUCAACGACCUAAUGCUUUUGUAGAAUUAUGUGAGAGUCAAUGAGGGUAGGAUGUUUAGUUUUUUCAAAGAAUUAUUCAUCUAAUUCUUUUUUUCUCGAGCCAUUACUGUGGGAGAUUAAUAUACUUUGAAAAAACUAAUCUCAUUAAUAUAAAAGUAUAUGAAUCCCCCCAAUACUAUACAUAGUUUAAAGAAGUUCUACCGCAAUAUUUGUAGAUUAGUGACUCAAUGUAUUAUAAAGCUAUACAUUAUAUGUAAGGAAUUUAAUACAGACUGUUAUGGGAAACUAUAUACUCCUUACAUGUAUAUAGCUUUAUAUGUGUAUUAGUUUCUGUUAUGUCUCCUAAAUGGUGCUCUGACCGACUGCUUUCAGAUCUAGAAACAAAUGAGUCUUUUUUUCAAAAAGCCACGAGUCAAAGAAUUUAUACUUCAUUUUAGUAUAGCGGGUCCAUUUAGGGCUCUAUCAAUUACUGUCAAUACAAACCCUGUCAGCUGCCGAAAAUGUUUCUAUGCAAAUAAAACAUUUCUACAAUAUAUAUUAGCAUGCUCUUCCUCUGCAGAAAAUCAAGCCAGCUGGAAAUAAUCGUCUGAAACUUUCUAAUAAAAUAAGUAAACCAAGCAUAUAGGGAGAGUACCUUGUAGACAAAACUAGAGCUGCCUUCGACUUUUUCAUGAUUUGAUGAUGCUAUUGCGGCAUCCAAUUCUGACCAAUUGUAGACUAUUAUCUCGCAAAAAUAAAACUAUAGUUUAUUAGCCUGUUGUACGAACAUAAUGGCGUAACAUAAUUUAAGUUACUGUGACAAUAAAACUUCUUAGUACGUUCUCCGAUCAUGAAAAUGUGACAUUUUGACACCUUUCCAGUUUAAACUUUUUAUACUUUCACAAUGAACUUCAAUCUUCCAGAAAAUUUGGGUCGAAAGCAUACAAAUCGUGUGUAUUUAUUUGUCUUAAAACUAAUUUUGUAAUACCAUAAUUUGUUCUAUUUUUAAAAAUAAAUUGAACAAGGAAACCAACCGUAACUUUGACUUCUUUGAUAAAUAUAUUUGAAUAGAAAAUAGUGAUGAAUUCAAAGCUACAGUCCAAGGCUGCGUUGCUAUUUAAAACAUCAUAUUCUCAUGACGACAUGAAGGAAGCUAGAUGAAGUGUUCAAUGUGAGGAAGCAAGCCAAUACCGCAAGUUUGUAAACAAUGACAAUGAUAUACGCACACCUGAUUUCUUUGUCUGGUUUUUGUUUUUGUUGCUAGCAUUGUCAGUUGAGUUGGUGGUCUGCACCGGUUGUUCCACCUGAAGUAGCAAAAUAGAAAGGAAUCAUAUACAGUACUUGCUACGACUGAGCACGGAUAAAAAUACAAUCUUAGUGUUGAGCUCUCUUUUCUCAAUAAUAAUCCUGCAAGUCAAUACCAUCGAGCAAAAUCAGUCCGGCACUACUAUAUAAUGCAUCCAUCCGUUCCGAAAUAUUUUCAUUCGUUUACUAUUUGUUAUUUACAAAUAUAUUUUGAAAUAGAUAAAUACACAAAGCAUGUUUGAAGUACUUUUGAUGACAAAUCUAGUGUUACUAAUUUCACUUUACUUAACCAAUUAAUUGAAUUUAUAUUGCUGGUCAAAGUUUGAGGAAAAAAGUCAAUAGUGAUUAUUAUUCCGGAAUGGAGGAAGUGACAUGUAUGUAGUAGUAAGGUAAAGCAAUGGUACCUUAUGUUCUAGGGGCACAAGAAGGGAUUUGAUGGCAUCCAAAAUUUUCUCCAAUUUGUUUGACUUUUGGUUGAUUUUUCGGUCCAGCAGUGAGUAGGUAGUGCGCCCAGCAAUAUCUUUUAACCAAAGUAUAUUCUGUAUUAUUUCUAGUCUCAGCACGUUCAGGUCGCGGGCUAUGUCGUCGGCCUUGAAGGCUUUGAGGGCGGCCCUAUUCUUUUGGCAUUUCUUUGCUUCCGUUGCCAUUCUCCCGAGGACACUUUUGAGACUCUCCAUUGUGUCCUUCAUGCUCUGGUUGUCUCUUAUCAGUGGCACCUCUGGGAGCAUCCUCAGGUCCUUGCACAGUGUUUCCAUAAAGUUGCAGAUGUUGCAGCACUCCAGAUUGUUAAACUUCUCCAACAGAGUCUUGAUCUCGGACCCGACAUCGAUGACCUCCUUCACCAGAUUGGCCAUCUCUGAACUUCACCAGUUAAAACGGUUAGAAAAUAAAGAUCGAUCAAGCAGAAAUCGUUUUAACCGUCUGUCACCCAAUAAAUCUCAAAUAUUGAUUCUCGAGAAUACUCGAGAUUCACAGCACAAUAAGCAAUAAUAAGCAAGCAAGGGUGCAUGUACUGACCUGAUUAUGAAUCCAAACAGCUCCUACUUGUCGAUCGAUUCUUCCUUGACGUUGCUAGACCUUCAAGUUCCUCUAGGCGAAACGACCUUUAGUUUGCCGGUCUUGAGUUAUCGUGGAAGGCGGGAAUCUGAUGAGUUAAGCAGCUCCUAUUGGCUGAUUGAUUUGUACUAGAAUUUGAUGAGUUGUGUGGAUGGAGUGGCAACAUGGGGCUUAUAUAUAGAAGGAGAGGGAGGGGGGGGGGGGGGGGGCGCAUGCAAGAGCCUAAUGACCAACGACGACCGCUUAUGAAAGAAAAAUCUUGUUACCCGUACCGUUUUAUUCCAUAUGCACGUAGUCAUUUCAUCUUCAUAAACAUGUGUGCUCCAGGCUUUCAACCUUAUUAAUUAUAGGUGUAAUGAUGCACCCACUAUGACAGCAAAGCAAAUGUGCUUUCACUCCUACUUUCAAAAAUUGUUGAUGCCAUGUUCAGUUCAUUCAUUAGAAAGGGGCUCCCGUUUCUCCUUUUCCUUUCUUAAUGACCAGGCAAAAGGUCUUUCAAGUUCUUUUAGUACUUAGUACAAGAUAGAUUAGGUGUUCUCACGGUGUGAUCAGCUGUACUGCUCGUACGAUUCGAAGAAAUCAUCGUACAACUUGCACAAAGCAACUUCUUGUGGGGAUCAGUGCAACUUGUCACGGAUAUAAUACUUUAAUUACCACCGAGGGUUGUUACAUUUCUUUCUUGGAACAGGCUCAUAUAGUAAGUAAAUAUAUGCUCAUUGUCUACACAAAGUAUAGAUUGCCGCGAGCAUAAAGGGUACGCGUGGUAUUUCCUUUGGAAGCUAAUAAGCAGCUUCCCCUAACAUGCCUACAAGAUUUAAUGGGAUUCAUGUGUUCCGUCCGAACCUUAGUUCACAUGGUACUGUUGCUAGCAUAGUUAGUAUAUAGUCUUUGCAACGUGGCUUAUAAAAUGGUUACGAAGCAUGCGACAUUCAACAUUAAUGCACAUGCGCCAUUUGCACUUAUAGGAGAACUCACAAUAUAAUCAUCCAUUAUUGAGAACGCAUGCGCAUCCAUCGUACUUAGCUCAGAUAUAUAAUCAUCCAUUAUCUUAGGUGGCCUGUCGAACCUAGAACAAUCCAUGGUACGCUUGCCUUGAUGAGGUCCCUCCCAGACGAGCAUUCGUUGGUUCUUCACCGAGCUCAUCAGCGAAACCGAUCUAACCACUCACUUAUACCGGUCUGACCUGCCUGUGCAGAGGAGCUGCAAGAAGCCCCUCCACGCUGCACGUUUGAGUGCAAGAGUAAUUGGCGCGGCACAUUUCUGGGUCAAGAGAAGUUCUUUGACAGGUGCACAAGAGUACGUCGUGGUUGCACCCGCAGAUCACUGCCUUUGAAUCGCUGGCACCAUGGCUGCUCGAAUAACCUCCAUGCGUGGACCACCAAGCCUAACAACAACCUCCUCCAUGGAGAGCCGCCGUGCCAGCUCAUGUAGACAGCAUAUAUAUCAGCCCGACAAGCACGCACCUUAAUGCCAUGCCCGGUCUGCUGCAUCGUCAGUUACCAGUUUUUUUAUCAAAUAGAUCCCUUUCCUGAAGCCUCUUAAGGGGUGUUUGGAUACCACCUGUUAAAGUUUAACACUUGUCACAUAGGAUGUUUAUACUAAUUAGGAGUAUUAAAUAUAUGCUAAUUACAAAACUAAUUGCAUAGCUGGAGUCUAAUUCGCGAGAUGAAUCUAUUAAGCCUAAUUAGUCCAUGAUUUGAUAAUGUGGUGCUACAGUAACCAUUUGCUAAUGAUGAAUUAAUUAAGCUUAAUAGAUACGUCUCGCGAAUUAGACUCCAUCUGUCAUAUAGUUUUGUAAUUAGCUCAUGUUUAGUCCUCCUAAUUAGCAUCCGAACAUCCAAUGUGACACUGCUAAAGUUUAGUACCUGGUAUCCAAACACCCUCUUAGCCUGCGAAAAAUAAAGAAACGAUUAUAUAUCCUCGCAAAAAAAGAGAAACGAUUAUAUAUAAGGUGAGCCUCACGAACAAAAAUAGCAUUUGUUUUCAUGGUGCAUGAUCACUCUAGUAAGCUUCAACUUUGUUUGGAAAGUCGUCCAAAUAUCAUAUACAGAUGUUGGUAAUCUAGAUGCAUAUUUAGGGGUUACUUUAGGUUACUUUCAAUUAUGGCAAAUGUGGGUAAUCUAUUAGAUGCAAAUUUUGGGAGUUCCUUUAUGUUAUUUCUUAUAAUGGCAUUUCUGGAUAAUUUAGAUGAAGAUUAGUGGGUUAUUUUAUAUUUUUUUCAUAAUGCUAGAGGAGAUAAUUUAGAUAUAGAUUUGGAGGGUUAGUUUAGACAACUUUUAUAAUGCGGGUAGGUAAUCUUUUCAGAAAACAUAAUAGAUCCAAUGGCCGAUUAUUUUUGAUUUUAUGAGAAUUUCUUGGAAUUUUUCUGUAGUCGAAUGUGUCUUAUAAGGAUUAUUGUAGAGACUCCAAUUAGUAAAAGUAGCAUCUUACCCUUUGGCCAGUAUGGUUCAUGUCGGGAGUGAUCAUAAAGGGAGGUUCCUUAAAAAAAAAAAGCUUUUCUAAAUUUGUUAAUCUUAGGAGACAUGUCGUUGUCUAACAGGAUAUCUUUUGGCUUCAGAUCCAUAUGGAGAACACUUUCCAUAUGCAGAUAUCGCACGCCCUUGGCUAUUCCUUGAAUUAUAUCGAAAAGAGAUAAUUUUAGUGCAAAUUUUGUGGAAUUCCUGGCCCAUUCAACAUGUUUAUCCCCUGCAGAAUAUGACGUAGGACAAAACUCUGGUUCCUUCAUGCUCUGGUUGUCUAUUAUCAUUGGCACCUCUGGGAGCAUCCUCAGGUCCUAGCACAGUGUUUCCAUGAAGUUUUGCAGAUGCUGCAGCACUCCUGAUGGUUCUCUUUAAACUUGUCCAACAGAGUCUUGAUCUCGGACCUGACAUCAUCUCGAUGACCUGCUUCACUAGAUCGGCCAUCUCCGAACUUCACCAGUAAAAACGGUUAGAAAAAAAAAGUUGGGUCUUCUCGAGAGAAUGAAUAACUAAACAGAUGAAUAUUUGAGAUUCAAAGCACAAUAACAAGCAAGGAGUUACUAAACAGACGAAUAUUUGAUCAUGAAUCAAAACAGCUCCUACUUGUCGAUCGAUUCUUCCGUGCCGUUGCUAGACUUUAAGUUCCUCCAGGCGAAACGACCUUUAUUAGUUUGCCGGUCUUGAGUUAUUGUGGGAGGCAGGAAUAUGAUGAGCUAAACAUAUAUCACUUGCAUGUGUUUGAAACAGCUAGUAACCUGGGACUACAUGUAUAAAGGAGGAGGGUGUGAUGGAAAAGCUGGAGGGAGAGGGUUGGGUGGGUGCGAUAAAGCAAGGAGCAUUGUAGCGUGUAAAGCAGAAUGUAUCGAUGCUUAAUGUUUUUAUAUGACUAUAGGCCAUGAAUCGUCAUGACUUAGCACAAAAAGUGCGAAAAGUUGUACAUGUUUUAUUAGAUUUCAGAUUGUUGAUAGGAUUCAUAUUCAAUUGCUGCUACGUAUCUAAAAGGAAUUGAAUCAAGUUUUAAAUAUUGUUUAGAGGAGGAGCUGGUGAUGGGAAAGCCAGUGCUGCAUGAAGUGGGCGUGAAGCAGGAAGGAAGUUUGUGAGAAGCACCAAGGAUGGAAAGACAAACAUAUUCCACGUCAACACGAAAUAGGUUCAACCUUAAUGUUUUUAUAUGACACCACCAGAACCCGUCGUUACUUAGCAUAAAGUGUGGAAAGUUAUUGUUUUCUUGGACGCUUUAGUUGGCUUAUUUAUCCCCCGCGCCCGGUAUGUUUUCUUGCUGUUUUUUCCUGUCCAGUUGGGUUUUUUUCAGGUUCCUAGGGGAGGCACCGGUGGUUGUGGAUGUCGAGUUGUUUCAGUCGUCCGGUUGUUUGUUUGUUUGGUUUCAUUCAUUCUUUCUUCUAACAAAAAUUACGGCAAAUCUCAUGCCGUUCCCUUAAAAAAGUUAUGUUAAAAAUUGAUGUCCGAUUUCAAAAUCUUACUAUUACUAAUUGGAGGCUCCUUUUGAAGCCUCCAGGUGAAGCCACCUAGGAUUCCUAGGUGGACACUCUAGAAAAAGAGAGAAAUCCUAGAAAUUCUCACAAAAAAACAAAAUAUCUGACCGUCAAUCGAUAGAUUUAAUCAUCAUAGCCAUUGAAUCUAUUAUGUUUUCUAAAAAAUUACCCAUCUAUACCAUUAUGAAAAUAGCCUAAAGUAACCCCCUAAACUAUAUAUAAAUUACCCACCUCUGCCAUUAUAUAAAAUAAACUAAAGUAACCCCUAAUCUUCAUCAAAAUUACCCACUUAUGCCAUUAAAUAAUAUUUAAAAUAACCCCCUAAUUUGCAACCGAAUUACACCACUAUUACUUAAAAACUUAAAGUAACCCAUUAAAUUUACAUCUGUAUUACGCACACAUGCUAUUAUUAAAAAUAACAUGAUAACCCUACGUUUGAAUCAAAUAACCUUAAUUAAAAAUAUACAGCAAUAUAUGAUUCUAAAUCGUCUAUAUCUUGCACUAUUGGUAUAUGAUAUAAUAAUUAAGGUAUAUACGCAUAAUGUGCAUCACCAUUUAUAAAGAUAUAGAGGAAGUGAUGAGAAUAUAGAUUUCUAUGUUAAAAUUGUAUCACAAACUUAGGGUUCAUUAAACAAAUUCAAGCGUAUACCUGCGAUGCAAAGUGAAAAGUUAAAGAUUAUAAAUGUGGAUGGAAAUAUUAUAGAGUAAUUACUAACUAAAAUCUAUCACAAUUGGAUGAAGAUAAUAAGUAUAUAUCUAUAUAAGUAUUGUGUUUGAAUAUUUAACAAACGAGAGGUAGCUUAUGGUAAUAUUUUUUAGCAAUGUAGUCUCAUUUUUUUCCAUUGGAGACUCCGCAUUAGUUCCCACGAGAUAAGCUAGAAAAAAGAGACAAAUUCUCAUAAAAAUCAAAAAUAUCAAACACCAAUCAUGUAAACUCUAGUAAUCAUAGCCAUUGAUCUAUUAUAUUUUCUAAAAAGUUACCCACCACUGUCAUUGUGAAAAUAUUCAAAAAUGAGCUCUAAACCUAUAUCUAAAUUACCGAGCUCAGCUAUUAUAAAAAUAAUCUAAAGUAACCCCAUAAUUUUCAUCCAAUUUACUAAUACAUAUCAUUAUAAAGCAUAACUUAAAAUGUCAUUCUAAAAUUUUAUCUAUAUUACCCAUGUAUAUUGUUAUUAAAAAUAAUCAAAAUUAAACACCUAAAUCUUAAUCUAAUUAUCUUCAUGUGCAUCAUACAGAAAUAUCAAAAAGUAAACUAAUAUAUGAUUCUAAAUUACCUAUUUAUGUAUAUACACAUGAUGAGUGUCACCAUUUAGACCAUUUAUACAUGUAUGUGAGGAAUCGAUGAAAAAUAUUGAUUUGUAUGCUAAACAUAAUGUAUGGAGGAUUGGAGCUGAGGUGCAAUACAAAAUGGAAAAAGUAUGAAUAUGGAUGAAAAAGUGCAUAGAAUAAUUAUUAAUUAAAAAUCAAUCACAACUGGACAAAGAUAGGUACAUAUCUAUAUAAGUAUUAUGUUGACAUAUUGAAAAAAUAAGAGAGUAGUCGGUAAUCAAUUUUGAUUAUUAGCUAGAAGUUUAAUUUCUAAAUAAUUUUCAAAUACAAUAGCUUAUAAAAAUAUUAGUCCGUGCGGGAGCACGGGUUGAUGGACUAGUGAAAUUGAAUCAGGUUUCUAAAAUUGUUGUACACCGACCACUAAUUGUUACACUAGGUUUCAAAAUUUAAUAGAUGCUUUUUAUGUAAUACAGGCAAUGUUUAUUGUUACAUCAUGAGUGAUGCACUCCACAACUCCACUGCCGCACGAAAGCAAAGGUGCAUUCAGAGACCUACUUUUUCUGAAACUGUUGAUGGGUUGUUCACUAGAUCGAGCCAACCGUUUCGCGGCCUUUUCCUUUCUUAAUGACCAGGCAAAAAAAGUUCUCUCGUAUGACUCGGAGAAAAAUUUGAGCACUUGCACAAGCAACGGCACUUGGGGGGAGGGGGGCUAAGUAUCAGGGCAACUUUGCCCGUAUAGCAACUUUAGCCUUGAUGGCGAAUGGGAUUGUGUAACUGUUUGUAAUAGCACUUGGUCUAAGAGGUCGCACGUCCGAUCCCUAGUGGGGACAAAUUAUGGUGGGUUUUCCAGGAUCUAUUUCUAGGUUGCUAUGGGUACACAUAUGUCCUGUUUAGUGGUACUGCAUGUUUCCAGCGCAACGAGGGCAGUAUUCUCUUCAAUCUCUCCUCUAGCUAGCUGUAUAUGAAUGUGCACGCAUGUGUGUGCGUGUGGUGUGAUUGUAGUGUGUUGUUGUGCGCGUUCAGGACCAUAUCUACAAAUUAGAGGCCCUGGAACAAAAUCCAUAAGGGCCCCUAAAAUUUGAAAAUGCGGCAAAAACCAAACUGCUGUGGGUGUAGGCAAUGUUUCCGGCGAAGCGAGCGCACAAAGCCUCCACCAGCGACGGCAGCUGGCAGCCCCUGCGCAGAGGAAUAGGAAAGAGGCGCGGCCGCUGCUGCUCCGAUCAUGUACAACGAAUGAAGCCAAACUGGUUUGAUGGUUUGAUGCAGUUGCCUCGUAGUCGUCGAUCAUCCUACUCUCGUGUGGUUCCUCCAAGCCAAGUCCAAAAGGGGCAGGGAUUUAUUUCCUGGUCGUUUCGGAAGCUAAAAAGCAUCAUUCCUACAAGAUUUAGAUGGGCUGCACGACACAGAGAAGCCCAUGACACAGGACACCGAGACAACUACUCUCGGGCUUCAUCGUCCCCGCAUCCCGGGUCCCCAACGGCGGUGGCGAUCGCGGCGGCGGCGCUGGCGAGAGGCCGGGGCCAGUGCCACCCGCGGUUUGCGGGGGGGGGGGGGGGGGGGGGGGGGGGNNNNNNNNNNNNNNNNNNNNNNNNNNNNNNNNNNNNNNNNNNNNNNNNNNNNNNNNNNNNNNNNNNNNNNNNNNNNNNNNNNNNNNNNNNNNNNNNNNNNAAUGACAUGCCAUGAGCUUGCAGCCGGUUGCUGCCUAAAUUAUUGCUCCUUGCUCUUAGAUAAUUUCUACAAUAGCUUGUUUAAUUACACUGUCUGUACACUAUUAAUGCAUGUAUAGCCGAACUUGUGGGCAUCUACGCCUAUUGCGUCUACCCUUAAAUCUCGUAUAGUAAAUAAAAUUAAAAAUAUUGAAAAAUAGAGGGGAAAGUAAAAAAAAUGUAGAUGAAAAAAGAACAGGACUGCCCCCUUUAACUCUUCCUCUCAAUCUCACUGCCGUGAGGCCCUUAUCUCUUGUCGGGAUCUGCGCCGCGCGGGGCUUUAAGUAGCAGUCUGACUUCUCUUUGGGAUGGGGAUAGGAGACUGUAGCAAAUCUUGGAAGAAAUGCGGUGGUAGCAAAUCUUGGAAGCAAUGCUGCUGACUGAAACCAGAUUAUGUGCCUUUAUGUCAGUAGGAUAGCAACCCACGAGAUGUGUCAGUAGUCAAUUAGUGAGACAUUCCAUCAGUUGUGUGAUUGUUCCUUCUUUUCCAUGGGAAACUUCUCCACUUAGUCUCUUUAUCAAUGAUAUAUAGCACACAAAGUCGGAGUCACUUAAGAAUCAGAAAGUCCAAUACAUACACACAGCAAUGUUGGUGAUGAAAUAAUACACGCAAACCAAAUUCCCACACAGAGACUCCAGAUUACAGGUAGUGCAACUCUCUGGUACGCACACACAAACUGGCACAGGCAUGCAAGAUAACACAUUUCAUGUCCUGAGGGUACAGAGAAGAAAGAACUAAGACCAAACACAUGGCGUACAUGCAGAAAAACCAAAUGAAGAGGCACAUGAAGGAAGACUGAUCAAAACUCUGUUAGGCAUGGCUAGCUGCAUGGCCCUGAUAGGAGAUGGCCAGGCUUCUCUGUUAGGCAUGGCUAGGUAUUUAAUGGAUUGUGAUAUAGCAACAAAUAAUGCUUCCAGUUGAUGUCGAGACCAAUUGACCUACACACGGAGCUGAUGAUAUAGCAAAUGAUGCUUUCUUCAAGGCCUCUACCGUGGCUCACUCGGCUGGCGCUCCUGGUGUGGAUUAUUCACUAGAAUGGCAUUAUUAGGAUGCCCUUCAAGUGCUUCUUUAAUCGGGUCCAGAUCACAGUCACCGUUGAGCUCCAGCUUCUUCAACCUAGGGAGCCAGUCGAUUCCAGAAAGAGCAUCCAUAGUUGCAAAAGUCCACACAAUCCUCUCGAGCUUAGGAGCUGCACCAAUGGCAAAUCUAAUUUUGGUGAUGUCUUAAUUGGUCCUCGACAAGGAGAGAGUUGAGACUUUGGAAUUCAAAUUUCUUGUAGGCGAGCUCACUUCCGGUGUAUGACUUAUGCUGAAACCUGAGGCCGCGGAGGCCAUCAAGGUUGCCAAUGAUACGUAGAUCAUCUUGCUUCAAAUAAGCAUCACUCAGUGUUAUCUUGGCAAGUUGAUGGCGAUCUUUAAUAGAGUGAACAAGCCCACUAGUGAUGCCACAGAUGUUCAGACUUUCAAUGAACUCUGGAAGGGUGGGUAAAGCAUCUACCUCUUCUGUACCAGCUGUUCCGACAAAUCGGAUCGACAACGAACGAAGGCAUUUAUGUAAUUUCUUAAUCUGAAAGAACGUAUCACCUAACUUGACAUGUUUACCUCGAAGGGCUACACCAAGUUUCCUCAGUUUCAGCAGCUGAGCGAUGCCGAAAAGAUCACUGUCCUUGUUGGUAACUUGGAUAUGGGACAGUAUCUCUAUGUUUCUCAUUUUCUGAAUUCCGAGGGGCAUGCUUACUGUAGCAAAUGAUUCUUCAGAUGUCAUAGUGUCUUUGCCUGCAGAGACCUUGUGACCAGCAAGGAAAUGCUUUAGCAGUGGUAGCACAAUAGGCUUCUUGAGCUAAUUACAAAACUAAUAGCAGAACCUCUAGGCUAAAUCACGAGACGAAUCUAUUGAGCCUAAUUAAUCCAUCAUUAGCGAAUGAUUACUGUAGCACCACAUUGUCAAAUUAUGGACUAAUUAGGCUUAAUAGAUUCGUUUCGCGAUUUAGCCUAGGGGUUGUGUAAUUAGUUUUGUAAUUAGUCUAGGUUUAAUACUCCUAAUUUGUGUCCAAACAUUCGAUGUGACGGGGACUAAAAUUUUAUCCCCUCCUCCCAAACACCCCCUUAAUCUUGGAUGAAAUGUCCCUUUCAUGCUACAGCACCAAAUGAUGAGGCAAUCGUUGCAAGUUGUUUAGUUUAUUGUUUAAGCUUAGAUUUUCAGCUUGUCUCGGCCAGCAGCUUGUGUGCUUGAGUAUCUUUCGGGUUGCCAUGAAUGGAUUAACAUUUGAUUAAUCUUAAGCCUUGCAUGUUUGGCCGGCUGUGUAGCUCCUGUUUUUGUGUCGUCUGCGUACAGUAGCUUUUGCUUGUGGCGACAAGAGCUCUUGGCUGCUCUCACUAGUAAGCCUAGUUUUUUCAUGCAUGGUUGAUUAGUGAUUUUGCAAGCAAGCUUUUAAGUGCAGUUUCUUCUAAGCUUAAUCAUCUUUGCUUCCGUUACACUUUUAGCUUUUCUAAUCAUUCCUUGGUGAGUUUGUCAUGAGUUGACUUGUGUCAUGUUAGCGAUUAGGAGCGAUAUGUGUUUAGGGUGGUAAUCGGAAUAUAGGCCUUGUUCUCAGAGAAAAUUUUUAAACGCUCCCAUUCAUCCCUCUGGUCGUCCGUCCCUAUCGUUCAGGUAUACAUGUUCCUAUCCUAUCUUUAACUUAUAUUGUUGAUGAUGCGCAGAGGAUAUUGACCGCUUGUAACAAUGAUGUAAGUGACUGAAAAUGUUAUUCCGUGUCUCUAUACCCAUCACUUCCUUCUUUAUUUCAAAGUAAUAGAACGGAUGCCUGUCACUUUCGACGAUCUUUACUCAUCACUGAUAUAACUCUUUGUACCAAGGAAAAGAACCGAAUGCACGCACUAUGGGUUUGUUUGGAUGUGACCUGGCAAACCUGCCUAGGUCGGGCAGCGAUCUCAGUCGUUCGAUUUGUGGCGGGGUCUCAGAAAGGGAGAGUGCAGUGGACUCUGAAGAUUGGAUACAUGCAUGCUUCAAGCUUAGAAUGUGACAUGAUCCAGAAAAAGAAUGCAUUCCUGUGAAGUGGUAAAGAAUUUUCAACAUCCAUAAAGGCUGUUGAAAGAACGCUGGAUUUUAAAAACAAACUCGUAAGACCAUCGUCAACCCUUACUCAAACAAGUAACGGCAGAACAAUGCAGAAGCAGUUGGCACCAUUUGCCAGCUGAUCGACGUCCGAUCGAUCGAGCAAACAUCAAACCCCAAUCUCGACCGGCACUCAUCCACUCGAUCAACACACAGCAGCAACCCCACCCCACUCACUCUCGAUCAGGCACUCAUGGUUCGGCCGCCGUCGAUGCAGAUGACUUGCCCGGUGAUGUAGGACGCCGCCCGGCAUGCAGAGGAACGACACGGCGGACGCCACCUCCGCCGGCUCGCCGGUCCGCCGCAUCGGGAUCCCGCGACACCUCUUGCUCCAGCGCUCCAGCCGGCGCCUGUGUGCAUGUACAUAUUCGACUAAUAUUUAACACUUAUGAGUAAAUCACCAAAAUUCCAGUGCUUUAGCUCGCAGAUUAAACUCUUACAUCUUUGACCAUGUCAGUCAUGAUCGUGCCCGGCGCGAUGCAGUUCACGCGGAUCUUGUCGCAGGCCCACUCGGCAGCCAGGCUCCUCGUCAGCUGGUUCAGUCCCCCUGCAUCAACGCCGCAAGAGGCGAAUUGAAAAUGCUUGCUUGUGCGGAAUUUGAAAAUGAAAUUUAAAUUUGUCUUUGUAUAUCUUUUCGAAUGGAUAUCACUGUGAUAUACCUUUGGCGGUGGAGUAGAGCGCUUCCCAUGGGUAGCCAAUGACGCUAGCAAUGGAGGAGAUGUGGACGAUGCUUCCACAGCCGGCGACGGCGGCGUUCCGGAGGAGAGGGUGCGCGAGCUGGCUGAGGUGGAAGCACGACUCCAGGUUGGUCGCCAUGAGCCGCGAGUA
rnacentral:lncRNA from 1 species